AAGUAUUAACAUUCUUCGAGCUAUGGAUGGAGCGUUGGCGCGUGGACUUUGCGUGAAGGCUGUGGAUUCGGUGGGCGCUUCGUGGAUUCGAGACGUGUUUGCUGCGAGGGCUUGCAGCGUGAUCGGUUGAAGGAGUUCGAUCGAUCGAGGACCGGCGAAGGCGAUCUACAACGAGGAUUCGGUAAAUUGAGUCGUGUAUUUUCGGUAAAUCACUUGUACUCAAUUUUUCAUAGUGGAUUGUUUUGUGUGAUUGGUCCCGUAGGUUUUUCUCUCCGGAUUGGAGUUUUUUCACGUUAAAUCUCAGUGUUUGGUUUUAUUUUUCGCUAUUAGUUUUAUUUUGCAUCGAGAGAUUUGUUUUUGCCAUUUACACCUAUUCACUCCCCCUCUAGGUGUUAUUUAUCUUUUAGAUCUUUAGGAUUCAUAUCUUACAUGCUUGGUUCCUAGAUCUAUUUGAUUAUUUGCAUCGACUAUAAACUGCGUGAGCCUAAUUGAGCUCGACACAGUGUGCUCUUUUGCUCAACUAAGUAUCUUCCCUGAGUGCCACUCCGGAGUAAGGCCUUCUUGCAUUCUUGUCGCAGUAGUCCUUUUGGGCAUUCAACUUAGACCUUGUGGGUAGUGUACGGAGUAGCAUGGGCACAGGCUGGACUUGCCGGUUGGCGGUCGCUUUGGAUUGAGUCAAUUGUAAUUGUUUCAUAACUAGUAAUGCAUAUAUACACAAAGAACAUGAUAUGAGUAGUGGUAGUGUAAUGGCGUAUUAGCUAUAGAGUUUAUUCUAGCUUACCAUAUUGUUCUUUUACCUACCAACUAUACUGUUAAUUUUGUAGAUUUAGUCGGUAGGCUGUUGGGGCCAGUGACGAUAUACACUAAGGACUACUUUGUUUGUAAUAGUUUUCACACCUAUUGUUGUCAUUUUUUCUUAUAGAGCCUUCGGCUGCUGCUGUAACACACUGAACUUUAGCAAAUUGCGAUGUUCUAGUGUUAAAAUAGCGUUUUAAGCUAUUUCCGGUGUUUUUGUUGGUCGUUGACUGAGUACCGACCCAUUUCUCAUGUUGCAGGAAUGCGCGAAAGAGAACUUAGCAUCAAAACCUCCAAACUGCAGGUUUUGGGGUGCUGCGUACCGGUAGCAGAGAGAAGGGGUACCGGAACUCUCCUGUAUAAUUGAGAAAAGCUGCUCUCGGGUUUGAGCUGUUGGGUGGUCGGGUACCGGUACGGCAUCGGCUGAGUACCGGUACGCCGCACUGUUUCUGCUUGACCGAGGCUCGGGUUUGGCAGUUUUGUUGACUUGGUACCAGUACUCUUUCCCGCAUACCGGUACGCACUGCAAAAACUGCAGUUCGUGCAGUUUGCAAUUUCUGGUGUUUUAAGGGGCUUUUUGGGGUUUGUUACAAUAUGUUAUAUAACCCCUUCAUCUCCCUCACAGCACCCUUUGUGCUGAGCUUGGAGAAGGAGAAAGCUAGGGUUUUUCUCCCUUUUUCUCUCUAGAUUUCUCCCAAACUUCUUUUAAUUUGAGGUUUGAUCUCUUUGUCUUCUUCUUCUUUAUGGUGGCAAGCUUGUAGACCUUGGAGGAAGCUUGGAUGAGAAGAGGAGAGCUUCUUGGUGGAUUAAUCUUCAACCCUACCUCAAGAUAGCUUGAUUUGGAACUCUCUUGAAGGUUAGUACCCAUCUUGCAACCUCUAUUUGUGAUUUUUGCAAGAUCUGGAGAUGAAAACCUAGUUUUGAAAAAACUAGGGUUUGGUUUGCGAUUUCUUGAUUUGAGGCUUUUGGAACUUAAUUGAUGAGUGUAGAACUCUUCUUUAGGUUAGAUUUGAAGAUCCUUUGGAUUGAUAUAUUUGAGCUUUGGACAAGUGUAGCUUGAUCAAAGGUGAUUUUCUACCUCUUGUUGGGUUGGUUAAAGUUAAGCUUGUGGGGUGUUCGUUCAUUACCCCUAACCCUUUUAGAAAUUUUUUUAGGGUACUAGGAGCUUGGUGGACAACUUCGUUCGAAGGAAUGAAAUGGUUCGAAGAUCAUCCGGUGGGUUUGACCUCACCGAAAUGGGUAAACUCCCUCUAUGUCUUCCUUAUGGUUUUAAGACAUAUUUAGAUGCUUAUUCAUGCUCAUUAUGACAUGCUAGAAUUUAUGAAGACAUAAUAUGUACAUGUUAUGUAUAGUAAAAAUUUAUGCUCUAUGUAGUAGAGGCAUUGUUCGGAGCCGAAUUUCCUGAUCCUUGACCCGGUGAAAGAUCUUCCUCGGAGAACAUGUAGGGAUGAAAAACAGCUACGAAUAGUGACCCUCGAAGUUUGCGCCCUUCGACUCGAUCAAGCGAUUCGGCUGAUGAGGGAUCGAAUCAGCGGAGUUCGAAGACCUUUACUUUAGACUCGGUUCGGCUGGAAGAGCCGAAUGUACAGAAUGCACAAAGUUUUAGGUCGGCUGAUGAGCCAAAUAGAUGGAAUACACAGAAACUGGUCAACUGAAAGAGCCGAAUGCCUUUAUAUAUUAAAAUGAAGUUGGGAACUCAUACAAAACAGAGUGUGCCCGAAGAGCAUACAAACUCUGAAAAUCUAGAUUAUAACAGAGUGUGCCCGUGGGGCAUACAGACUCUAGGGAUCUAACUUAAAAACUACUCUUAGGAAAGCAAUAAAUUUGGGUAAAAAAGUUUACAUGUAGACUACUCCUAGAAAACGAUAAAUGUAGGAAAGGAAAGUAUUGAAAACGCGGCGGUCUUCUCGUUCAGGGGAGAGAAAGACCUUUAUUACAGGCUUCAGAAAGACCUUUAUUACAGGCUUCAAAGUUACUAUUAUAAUAUCUUAUCAGCCCACAUUAUUAGUUGGUUAUAGUAGUGAGGGAAGUGCUGUAGCCAUGAUCAUAGAAGUUACGCUCCACUUCUCAUGGAAGUUACGCCCCACUUCACAUGGAAGUUACGCUCCACUUCACAUAGAAGUUACGCCCCACUUCACAUGGAAGUUACGCCUCACUUCUCAACCGUUCCCGCCUAAACACUCUUGACCUUAAGGCGCCCUAUUACCGACUCCUGGUGUACCACGUGUCCUUAUUUCUUUAGCUCAUAUGUGGGUUACGUCGGCGUGUUAAUUUUAAAUUUGGCAUCAACAAUGCCCCCCCAAUAGUCUUUCGAAUAAACAUUCGGAUGACUAUUGGUGCCAAAUCGACUACUCAAUGGCACAGCUGAGACCUAAGCUUUAGUUUCGCUGGUUUUGGUUGGCUUAAAGAAAGCGACUCUUUAUCAUCCCAGCCGUAUAUACCUUAGCUUCAUCAGCCGAUUCUUUACUUUUACUCGAUUGGUUCGGCUCUUCUUGAACUGAAUGUUCUUCUAUCAAGAAUUUCUCCUUGAAGAAAGCGGCUCUUUACCAGCCGCAUAUACCUCGGCGUCAUCAGCCGAUUCUUCACUUUCACUCGAUUGGCUCGGCUCUUCUUGAACCGACUGUUCUUCUAUCAAGGAUUUCUCUUUGCCUUUUCUUUGCUUUUUAUAUCGGCUCCAUUGCAGUCGAUUGUCCUUACUUUUUUUUCGAAAUUGCUCAUAUUGGGCAACUCGAACACCUAGAUCAAAUAGGUUAGAAAAAUACUUAUCUUCAAAAUAGUCUUUUAUCUUAAAAUGCAGACCAUUUAACGUCAUUUUGGCGAACUCUAAUUCCGGCAUUCUCAUAAAGCACCGGGUAUUGGCUAUUUUGAAACGGUUCAAAUACUCUUUGACCGUUUCACCUGACUUUUGUUGGUAUAAAGCCAAGUCGGCAACCGAUAAUUGUGGCUUCGACCUAUAGAAUUGCUCAUGAAAUUUUCUUUCCAAUUCGUCCCAAUCUUGGACGGAAUUGGCUGAUAAACUUGUAUACCAAGUAAACGCCGUUUUAGUUAACGACGUGUUAAAUAAUCGAAGUUUCAAAAAUAAGUCAGCGGUCGCUUCUCUACAUUGGGCCGUGAACUGGGCUAUAUGCUCGACCGUAUUCUCGGUCUCAUCGCCCGAGAACUUAUCGAACUUCGGCAUUUUUCAGUUUGCCGGAUAUGGAUCCUCCACAUUGAUGUUCGCGGGAUAAGGUGAUUUAAACACAGGCAGCAUUGCCAGCCUUGCGCCAACUCCGAAAGUAUUUCGGAUGGCUUCUUCAAUCCGUGCGUAUAUUUCAUUAUUGUUCCCCUACAAAGGAACCUGUGCUUGUAUUACAUUCGGUCCUUGCGGUAGACCGAAAUUCGGUAUAAUAGGGUUAACUCCUUGCAUAUUCGGAGCCUGCCCCCCAGCCCUUACGCCUACAUUUUGGGGCUGGUAAGCUGGUAAAGGAGGUAAACACAAUGCCAUCUCCGACUGCGGGCCGGCGUUUAUAUUCGUCGGCCUAUAAGCAGCCUGGAAAGGUGCCAUUUGCGGUUGCGCCUGUGAAACCGCCGGCGUGAUGGGAUUUUGUUGCACCGGGCAUAUUUAGGGGUCCCUGUUGCCCCCCGUAAGGUUGCUCAUUUCGAGUAAAUAACUGUCUGAUUCGAACAAUAUUUUCAUUGUAGGCCGUUAUGCCGGCCAACACCGUGUCUAGUUGAGCGGUACUUUGAUGGAUAUUUUGAUCAACAGUUUGCAAGACUCGGGUCAUGUGGCCGAGUGCCUGAGUGUAAGGAAGUGAAUUCUUGAAAUCCGGGGAUUAGACUUCGUUUAGAAUUGACUAAUUGUCGAGUGAGUAGGUUUCGGAAAGUCUGAAGGCGAUUAAAAUGCAUAAGGUGCAUUGAGGAAGAGUCCGCGAGAGCAUCAGUGCAAAACCUGCACUGGAGCAAAAUUGCUCUCGGGGACCGGUCCCCGGCAGGGAGGGACCGGUCCCAUCGGCUGGUGUGGCCGGGAUCCUUGAUGCAACCGAUCCCUGGCAGGGAGGGACCGGUCCCCGAACGUCAACCCAGCGAGAAAGACCGAAAUUUGGCUAAGUCCUAAAAAUCCAACUCUCGGGAACCGGUCUCUCAGGCAAGGACCGGUCUCCCGGGGACCGGUCUUUCAGGCUAAGAUCGGUUCCCGAACGUGAGAUUUUUCUCUGCCCGAAUAGGAGGCUCUCGGGGACUGGUCUUCCCGACCUGGGACCGGUCCCUCACUGCGAAAUUGCCCAGUGAGGGCUGCUUUGUAGAGUGGAAAGUUGAGGGGUUUAAUUGCAAAAUGGCCUAUAUGAGAGAUGGGGAACCCUUUUCUCUCCCUCACUGCUCUCUUUUCCCCUCACACUCUCACCCUUUCUCCCUUUCUCUCUCUCUAGAAAGAAAAGAAGGAGAAGAAAAAGAAGAGGAAGAAGAAGAAGGAGAAGAAAAGAAAGAGGGGGGAGAAGACUAAGAAGAAGAAGAAGAUCAUCUUCUUCUUCCUCAAGCUAGGAGCUCUAACCCUACAAUAGUAUUUCUAGGGUUUAGGGUUCUUGUUGUUUGGAGAUGGUUUUAAUGAGACCUAAUGGAGUCAAAUAGAUGAUUCUAGCAUGAAUCUAAAGCUUGAAUCAUGGAUUUCUCCGUGGUUGCAACCUAGGGCUCCGAUUUGGGAUUUUUGGAAAUCUAGGGUUUAAUCUAUUUUAAUGGGUCAUAAACCUAAUUGCUAAGUCUUCGAACGCGUAGGCGAAGACGGUCCUUCGUUACGACGAGCGAGUGCGAAAAUAUCGCCGGAACAAGUGCUCGAGGGUUCGGAUUAGCCUGAAGAGUCGAGGCGACGACGAAGGAUCACGGCGUCGAGUUUACUAGCUACACGGUAGUACCAAAAAGGUGGGGGUGCUAUCCCGAAGCAGUUGAACUGCUCCCUAUGUCUAAGUCAUCAUGUUGAUCAAGUGCGGUUGAUCAAGUGCUUAUUGUAUUAUUGCAUUAUAGGGUGCUGAAUGUAAUUGUUACAUUUUAUUGCAUGCUAGAGUUAGCUUAGCUUCGUGGAUAUAGCGCCGAACCUAGUAUGCAUGAGUUGAAUAGGAGAUAGUCAACCCUAUAUGUGAUGAAUGUGUUAUGCGAAUGAGAACCUAGUAUGGAAUAACUAGUAUAUGAGAACAUUGAACCUUGACGAGUGGCAUCUAGUUAAUGUUAACCUUGACGAGUGGCAUCUAGUUAAUAUUAACCUAUGAUGAAUAGCUAUGAGAACCUUAGUGUGGUUGGUAACACUAGAGUGAUGAGUAUGGUAUUUGCUUGCAUAUAUGAUGAUACUAUCCUUAGUUGACAAGAUGUUCCCAGUUUGUGAGGGUUUGGAUCGAGCUUACAUAGCCUAUCUGCGCCUGUGGUGGUAGCUCCACACAGGUAGUGCACUCCGGAGGUUGUCACACGAGGGGGGGCCAAUGUAGUUGCCCUUGGACUAUUGUAGCUGUUCGCAGGCGGUCUCGGGGGUAGUUGAGUAGCUAGUCUCCUCCCCUAUGAGACUUACACACAUGAGAUUGUGAGCAAGCCUCGAGUUCGCAGAGGGAUUGGGUAACCUGAUGAGUUCCACGUUUUUGUGCAUAGUAGUAUAUUAGCUACAGGUUUCACUAUGAUGUGCAUGCAUGCAUUAUACAGAUUGAGGCAUAGUUAGAUGUUGCAUAUAUAUAUAUAUGUAUAUCUGCUUAAAUGUUGCCGAUGCUUUCAAUUACAAGUAUCUAUCUAUCUGUCUAUUGUCUCUCUAUGCUUGCUUAGACCUAGUGGGGAGAUCGGCGGAGUUGGCGGCCGAACCCACUGGGAACUAUAGAAGAUAGUUCUCACCCCACUCUCUAUAGGUCCGAGUUCGAGUGUCCCCGGCGAGCGCGACGAUCGUGGCAAGGGCAUAGCGCCCUAGGGGUAUCCAUAGCUAGCUUUACUUCCUUCUGCAUUAAUUCCACUCUAUGUUUUAUGUUUGAGAGUAGAUGAUGUAUAGGGUGAGGUUUUGAGAGUGAUUGUACAUAUGUUUUGGAAGAAUGUAAAGGUUGAAAUAAUUGUAUCAAAGUUAAUGAAUUCAAUAGUUAAGUAUAUCUCUCUUUUGAUCACUUGUAUGCUUUACUCGUGUUGCUUACUCUUGGUUGAUAUGCACUGUUUGCGCUUCGUUAUCGUUGUAUGAUCAUGUAUGUAAUCAAGUGUAUUUCCUGGGAACUUGUGUACAUGAUCUCGUCGUUUGAGCCUUGGUCGGGCAGGGGAGUUGCUGUCCGUUCGGCGGUUGGUUCGCCGCGCCCGAACCGGACCAAAUUGGUAGCGGUCUCGGGGCGGGGGCGUGACACUGAGUUAAACGCGGCUCUUGAUGAGCCGACUGUUCACUAGUCUCUCCUCCAACAGGUAGUACCACCUAAUUCUUAUUCGCAUUUUUGGCGCUACCAGCUUGGUCAUUCCCUGAAGGCCUGGGAAUGGCUCUAUUUAGGAGGUUCAUAGCAUUAUCGUCAGCCAUAGGACAAAGUCUAGAUUAGGAAUACCUGAGUGUGUCCCACUGGGCGUGCCAAAAAUUAUUGGGAGCCGAAUUCCCUGAUCCUUGACCCGGUCAAAGAUCUUCCUCGGAGAACGUGUAAGGAUGAAAAACGGCUACGAAUAGUGACCCUCGAAGUUUGCGCCCUUCGACUGGAUUAAGCGAUUUGGCUGAUGAGGGAUCAGAUCAGCCGAGUUCGAAGUCCUUCACUUUAGAUUCGGUUCGGCUGGAAGAGCCGAAUGUACAGAAUGCACAAGGUUUUGGGUCGGCUAAUAAGCCGAAUAGAUGGAAUACACAGAAACUGGUCGACUGAAAGAGCUGAAUGCCUUUAUAUAUUAAAAUAAAGUUGGGAACUCAUACAAAACAGAGUGUGCCCGAAGAGCAUACAGACUCUGAAAAUCUAGAUUACAACAGAGUGUGCCCAUGGGGCAUACAGACUCCAGGGAUCUAACUUAAAAACUACUCCUAUGAAAGCAAUAAAUGCGGGUAAAAAAGAUUACAUGUAGAUUACUCCUAGAAAACGAUAAAUGCAGGAAUGGAAAGUAUUGAAAAUGCGGUGGUCUUCUCGUUUAGGGGUGAGAAAUACCUUUAUUACAGACUUCAAAGUUACUAUUUAUAAUAUCUUAUCAGCCCACAUUAUUGGUUGGUUAUAGUAGUGGGGGAAGUGGUAUAGCCAUGAUUAUGGAAGUUACGCCCCACUUUUCAUGGAUGUUACGUCCCACUUCAUAUGGAAGUUACGCCCCACUUCACAUGGAAGUUACGCCCCACUUCUCAACCGUUCCCGCCUAAACCCUCUUGACCUUCAGGCGCCCUAUUGCCGACUACUGGUGUACCACGUGUCCUUAUUUCUUUAGCUCAUAUGUGGGUUAGGUCGGCGUGUUAAUUUUAAUUUUGGCAUCAACAGGCAUACAUGUGGAUUUGGGCACUACAUGACACUUCUUAAUGAUUUCUCUCUUAUGCAACUAUAGGAAGCAUGUUAGAGUAUGAAUGUUGGUAUAACUCCUUAAGGGUACCUAGAGAAUGGGUUAGAUAAGUGGUUAAAUUACAUGAGGACAAUAUUACACUUGUUAUAGACAAGGUGAAUGGAACUUAGCAUUUCUUGCAUGAUAAUAUUAUACUUGUUGUAGACAAGGUAGUUGUGACAUUGUAACUUGGUACAUUUAACCUAGUAGAACAACUAGUAUUGGCCAUUGUGAUAUUGCAUUCGAUUUAGGGAUCGAUAUUUAUAUUCCUUAUUUUAGACAUGAGGAAAUGAGAGUGUAAAGCCUUUGAGGUGAACCCUAAUAGAGAUAAUGGCAUGUAAUACUAGUGAAAUUUAGUUGCUUGCAUGAUAAUACUUCUACUCCAUGUAGUGGAGAUUUUAGCAGAAAGACAUAUGCAUAACAUGUAUUGUGGUACUUAUGGACAUUUCAUAAUUCUCUUGCAUAUGGCAUUAGUAAAUAUUUCUCUUGACAAUUAUUGGAACUGCAUGUCAUAAACCUGUUUGGAGUCUUGUAUAAAAUAGUGAACUAUCCUAGAUAGGAUAAUGACAUAUGAACUAUGCAUGCUUUAGGCAUUAUAUGUGUUGGUAGAGACAUACCACCCAAGUAGUUGUUAAACAAGACAUGACAUGAAUGAUUUAGAACCCGACCGUCGAGUCGAUGAGUGAGAAUUCCAUGUUUUAGACAUGAUGAUUGAGUAUCCCAAAUUGUGGACCCUAUACUAUGAUCACGCUUGCUUGCCCUUGUGCUCAUUCGCACAUACUUGUGAGGGUCGCUCCCUACAAGCCAGCACUCCGGAGUUUAGCCUUGCGACGAUAGAUCGCCCGUGUGGGAUUGGGCGCCAAAGUGGGAUGCCGUGGGCGGAGUCUCUUUUCUUGUAGGAAAAAUGAUGACUCCCACGGGGCCACUAAGGCACGGCACGAGCCGGGACGUUAUCACGUGUAUGUUCCUUGUAAAUUGGGUAUUGAGACUUAACUUGACAUUGUACAUCACCGUAAUGGAUGCAUACAUGGUAAAUGUUCAUACAUGUGGUUUGCUACCUUAUAUUACUACUUGAUGCAUUCAUAAUAGUUGGACAUUUUGUGGGACAUCAUGACAUUAACAGCUUUAGUGGUAGUACACCUAUACUUAUGUGGAUUAGUAUGCACGCAUGGCUAGGAUAACAAUGAAAAGCACAAUUUACUCUAUAUAGCAUCAUGGACAUUAUGAAUAUGCAUGUAAUUUGACAUUGGCAUACAAUUGAACAUGCAUGUAAACUGACAUUGGCAUAUAGUUGAAUAAAUGAAAUUUGACCAUCUUAUACUUGAUAGUUAAUCUUUUAGUAGAGGCAUGACUAUGGAAUGAACAUGUUUAAUUUACUUACCUUUCAUAUAUUGCUUAAUUAUCACCUUAUAGCAUGCCUCAGUUGACCUCGUGGUGUAUUUCGCCACCCUUGGCGGCUUAUUCACUGGGAACUAUUGUUUAAUAGUUCUCACCCCCAUUUGUUGUUGGUUUUUGUUUCAGAACCUUCUGCGGCGGGAGAGGUUAUAGGGAUCGUGGCAAGGGGUUAGCGACUUGCUAGAGCCCCUACGGAGCUAUUUAGAGGGACCCGACAUCAUCUUUCUUUUUGUAUCUUGUGGAAAGAUGCAUUAUAUAUUUGAUUUAGAGAUGUUGUUAGACUUUCGGAUUUAGUUGUAUACACUUUGUAUAUUUCGUGGAUCCCUAUGUGAUAGAACAUUAGUAAUUUUAUAUUACUCGUUCUGAUAGCCUUGUUAGGACUUGAUCUUGUUCAUCCUUGUAUUAGUAGACGCCUUGUGUGCAUUCUAGUUGUUUGGUGUACACGGCGGGUCUGUGCACGCGUCGGGCGGGCUUCCGCUGGACCGGUGUGUGACAGCUGCUGUUGCUUCUUAUCGAGAUAAGGGAAUCACGAACUUGAUCCCUACCUACCCCUGUCGACAUGCUAGAGGAGUACUCUUUUUGGAGCUAGCUUACUUUUGUUUAGUCAUAUACAUACAAUUGUUUUUUAUUUUUCACUGUCCGCUGUUGUGAGGUGAUGUUAUUGUACUUUUGGAUUAUGUUAUACACCUUCAAUUACAUGUAUGUACGUCAAGUGACUAUUUAUUUCUAUUUUAAUAGCUCUAUUACUCUCUAAUAGUGGUUCUUGUACUAUUUACAAGUGCUUCUAUCACUCUGUGUACAUAAGGUUUCUUGUGUAUUCGGCGUAUCUGUUGGCGAGCCAGUUAGAGCUGGAGCCCGGAGCGUCACAUGGAUAGAGGAAUCUCUAUACGUGUGGCGGGUUUGUGAACAUAUCGGGCAAGGUUUCAAAAAGAAAAAAAAAUUAUACAUUUUUCCGCAAACUUUAUUUUCAAAAAUGAUCACAGGGUAUAACAAUUUAGUUCGACUAUAUAAGGCAAUAGUGAUCAAAUAAUUAUAGUUAAUAGUUAAUAAGUAAUUAAUAAUAAUAAAAAUGACAAAUCACAUAUCAUAUUAUCGCUAGAUAAUAAUAAUAUUAAAUAAUAAUUUAAACUCAUAAGUAUACUUUUCAUUAGUUAUUAUUAACUAUUAACCAUAAGGGCCAAUUUGGUUUCUUGAAAAAUAGUAGAAAACUAUUUUCUAAAGAAAAAAGUUGUUGGGGAAAAGAAAUUUUUUAGUUUCUGUUGUUUGGUUCGAUGGAAAAGAAAAAUAGUUUUUUAUGUACGUGUGUAGUCACGCCCCGGAUUACUCGUUUCUCCGGGCACUUCAACAGACCCGCCGUAUAAAUAAGAAUUUUUUCUAUAUACGAAGCGAUAGCUGUACCUGUACCAGUAAUCAUACAAUACUACAAUCAGUAGUAUAGAGCUGCUAAAAAGAAUAAUAUAUAAAUAAAACUGGUUCACUAUACAUACAUAGCAUCCUGGUACAAAAACACUCGCUCCAGCGAGGAUCUAACAUCAGUAUGUACAAGAACCAAAAACUACCACUCCCUGUAGCUGGUAUAUCUCUAAGUCAGUAGCAAAACGGGAAGGGAUCUAGCUCACAACUCCCUUUCCACAAUCGAUAACCGCGACAGAAGCAGCCGAAGAGGAAGGCUCUGCAAAAAAAGAGGUAACAACUGGGCGUGAGAACUAUUGCAAAAAUAAGCAAUCCUCAGUGGUACCGCCCUCAAUCUCAUCGGCUCACCCACAAAGUCUACAUGCAGAUGUAUGCUCAAAUAAUAGUAAAGGAACUGGAAACAAUCUACAGCUAUAUGCCACGAUACUCUCAUGAUCCAAUACUAACUAUCUGUAGAAUAAUACAAAUCUCUGACCCAAUCUCACUAGAGACUGUGAAAACACCCGUCCCGCUUGUCGAAGCGAACCCGUAUACUACCCUAUGAGUAGCCGGUGGAGAAAACUCUCUAGGGACUGUAUACACCCGUCCCGUCUAAUUAGACUACACCACAGCUCAAGAGUAGCCGGUGGAGAAAACUCUCUAGAGACUGUGAAUAUACCCGUCUCGCCUAAUUAGGCUACACCGUAGCUCAAGAAUAGUCAGUGGAGAAAACUCUCCAGAGACUGUGAAUACACCCGUCUUGCCUAACUAAACUACACCGUAGCUCAAGAGUAGCUGGUCUAGGUAAAAAGGUCCGACAGGACGGCUGUAACUCCCCUCACGUCACAACCUCAUUGAAGGUCGAGAAAGGCGUCACUAACUACCACUGAUCCAACCUCACACGGGCUGCCCAAACGGGCCCACCCUGCCUGUAUCCAACUACGCUGUACACCACCCACUGGGGUGGCCAGUACAAGAACUAUCCGAGCAGAAACUGCGACCUUAUCGCACUAAAAGCUCAUUCCGGAAUGGCAUUCGUGGGCGCGACCCAACCGAGUUUACAAGUGUCUCUGUGAAGUUCAAUCAGUCUCUCACAGGCUAUAAUCGAAGUGAACAGGUCACACUGGUCUAACCACCAAAUCUCACGUGCUUUUAGCACAAUCUAAUGCAAAAACAGCCAACAGGGUCCACCAUCAACCAUGACGGCACCCGACACAGUUCGGAACAGCCUAAACACUGCUGUAAAAAUAAGCUUGGCAUCCGAUCACGAGUGUAAAUGCAUUCUAUACUAUCUUGAGUAUCCACCGCCCACAAACUGCGGUGAUACAAACAAACUACGGCUCCUAGAGCUAAAUCUGGUAGUUUUAAUAUAGGACGGUGUAAAAUUAUUAGUUUUCUCCUAAGUCAAGUUUCAAGUCCAACAUAUAUAAUUUAUCUAACUCACUACAGCAUGCUCCAAAUUCGGAUUUUGUUUAACAUGUUAAUCGAUGAAUUCGAGCUAAAAACAUGAUAUACAAUUGCUGAAAAUAUACAUGUUGACUAUGCGUACACUUAGGAGGAGAAUCCGAUGAUUAACCCACCUCUAGCGCUAAUCCACGGCAGCACGGGGUCGCGAAGUUACUGGGAUACACAACCGAAACCACCCCUGGACCAGCAGCAAGGAUUCUCCAAGAACUAAAACAACAAUACCAAUAAUUCUAUCAAUAUACUAAAAUUCAGCCCCUAAGGUCAAAUUCCUUCAAUCUCAAUGUCAAUUUCACCUUUCGAUCUUCAAAUCUGGUGAAGCAAGGUUCCAAAACCUGUGUACUAAGAUGGAGAAUCACCCCUAGGUCCAAAAUCCAGCUUCCUCCAAAGAUUGCAUCAUGAAAAUCCACAAAACUCAAAUUUCAGCUUCAAUACUGCAGCAGUCCAGAAAAAUAGCAAUUUGACCAAACUAACCUCAAUCAAAUUCGUCAAAAAAGGCUCCACGAAUUCUUCUUGAAGUCCAGAAUCCAACAAACCAAGUUUCACAGCAAACGGAGCUUCCUACGUCGCACACGAGCCAAAACGUCGAAGGUCGCUGCUGGAAAUCUGCAGAAUCAGCACUCCUCAAGCUUGGAAUUGUAGAAUUUAGAGUAAUUUGAGGGACUUAGAUGCAAAAUGGAGCUUCUCUGUGAAGAAGGAAUGAAAAGUCUUCACUGUGGUCGAACACUACAUAUUUAUAGGGUGAUCAAACAGUCAGAUAAGCCUCAGGAACAAAAGAGGUUAACCUGCAGAGUUUGCAGAAAACCACACUUUCGAGCGCCCAAAACCCCUUUCUGGGCAUCCGAAACCUCCAGGCUACACACUUGCUCCCCUUCGGUUCCUCCGCCUGCGGUGUGCUGCGCCCAUAUCAGGCUCCGGCGGAGCUCACCUACCACCAGCCAAGUGUCAGCGCAAACGAUACUCACGAAGUGAAAUUUCGGACCCACUUCUGGGCGCCCGAAACUAGGAUUCGAAUUGGCUUCCAGUUCUGCUCAGUUCAGCACUCGAGUUCUAGGCGACCCAAACCCUGUUCUGGGCGCUCGAAACUGGCAAAACUCCUGUUUUGCUCCUUUGAGUGCGCCGAGUCCAUUUCUGCAUCUAUUUCAUGCAGAAACGACUCCGACUCAGUCCGACACUCUCCAGAGGUGUCGACCAGUCACUAAUACUGUAGCGAAUCCUAUCCAAACCUCUGGAACACUGCACGUGUUUGGUUGAUAAGGAAAAAUAAAAUGAAAAAUAGUUUUUCGUUUUUAUUUAACUUGUUUGGUUAGUUAGAAAAUUUGGGAUAUAAACACUUUCUACAAAAAGAGGGUAAGAUUACUAAUUUUUUAGAACUUAACAUACUACUCACAAACUAUUUAUACUAUAAAUAAUAAAUAAAUUAAAUAAAAAUAAAUUUUAACUAUAUUUUAGUCUAGAUAAUAUAAUUUGACAAAAGAGAUGGAGUUGAUGAAGAUGACAGAUAAGAGAUGAAGAUGGUUCUUCCAUGUGUAUAUGUACACACAAGCGCAUGCGCGCGCGCAUGCGCGCGCGCACACACAUAUAUAUAUAGAGAGAGUCCAGCUACUAUACUCUUAUGAGUAUAGUCAACUUUGUACUCAUAAGUUUUUGACUGUUAGAUCUUCUUUGUUAAUCAUUUCCACCCGUUAGAUCAUACUAUUUAACCAACCACCAACUCAAUCCUAGGGGACCACUAUUAACCUAACCGAGGACCGCUAUCAUCCUAACCGCAUAUCUUUUCAUCCAAUGAUCGAAAACUUAUGAGUACAAAGGAUGCUAUACUCAUAAGAGUAUAGUAGCCUUAGCCUAUAUAUAGAGUUCAGCUACUAUACUCUUAUGAGUAUAGUUAAUUUCGUACUCAUAAGUUUUUGACCGUUAGAUCUACUUUUUUGAUCAUUUCCACCCGUUAGAUCAUACUAUUCAACAAACCACUAACUCAACUUUAGGAGACCACUAUUAACCUAACCAGGGGCUGCUAUCAUCCUAACCACACAUCUAUUCAUCUAAUGGUGGGAAACUUAUGAGUACAAAAGGGGCUAUACUCAUAAAAGUAUAGUAGCCCUAGCCUAUAUAUAGAUUCCAGCUACUAUACUCUUUUGAGUAUAGUCAACUUUGUACUCAUAAGUUUUUGGCCGUUAGAUCUACUUUUUUGAUCAUUUCCACCCGUUAGAUCAUACUAUUCAACCAACCACUAACUCAACCCUAGGGAACCACUAUUAACCUAACCGAGACCACUAUUAACCUAAUCGGGGACCGCUAUCAUCCUAACCGCACAUAUUUUCAUCCAGUGGUCGGAAACUUAUGAGUACAUAUAUAUAUAUAGGUUAGGGCUACUAUACUCUUAUGAGUAUAGACCCAUUUGUACUCAGAAUUUUUUGGCCAUUGGCUGAAGGGAUAUGCGCUUAGGAUGAUAGUAGUACCCGGCUAGCAUAAUAGUGGUCCCCUAGGGAUGAGUAAGUGGAUAAUUGAAUAGUAUGAUCUAAUGGGUGGAAAUAGUCAAAGAGGUAGAUCUAACAGCCGAAAACUUAUGAGAAAGGAGUCUAUACUCAUAAUAGUAUAGUAGUCGGACUCUACAUAUAUAAAGAAAGAGAGAGUUGAUCUAGAAUACUAUUAAUAGCAUUUGGGCUCUUUUGCUAUCAAUUUUUUAACCGUUAGAUCUACACUUUAAUCAAUUCCAUCUUUUAGAUCAUACUAUUCAAUCAACCACCCACUCAACCCUAGGGAGACUACCACUAAACCUUGGGGAUCACUAUUAUCCUAACCCUAUAAUUUUUUAUCCAAUAAUUAAAAACUCGAUAGCAAAAGAGCCCAAAUUUUAUUAAUAGUAUUCCAACCAAAUUCUACAUAUAUAUAUAUAUAUAUAUAUAUAUAUAUAUAGUCCGGCUAUGGUGCUUGUAAAAGCACCAAGCACAUGGUGCUUGUAAUUUUUUUACCGUUAGAUCUACGCCUUGAGCUAGAAUACUAUCGAUAGCAAACCGGCACUUUUGCCACCCAUUUGUUUUCGAUGAUGGAGCCUCCAAAUUGAUGAUUGGCACCGUUGAACAUGAUCUAUACCAUUUGAAGUAUUUAGAAAUUAAAUUUCAUACAUUUUCGAUAUUGCUCUCUUAUCCAUUGAGUGGACACAAAAAUGAAUAGCUGAAAAUGAAUAUUUUUUAAAAAAUGAUGGUAGGAGUCUUGUAAUCAAGACCAAGAGUAUAGAUCUUGUUUUAAAUAGUUUAAAGAAUUUUCUAACAAAAAUUCAAUUGAUUUGGAUAUCUUUACGCCGUUAAACGAGAAAACGCCUCAUAUCGACCAUUAAAAUUACAAAUUUUGAAAGCCUUUGAUCAUUAGGCAAAUAAUGUCGAAAAGAUUUGAAAUUUGAUUUCUAAAUACUUCAAGUGGUAUAGAUCAUGUUCAACGGAGCCGAUCGUCAAUUUAGAGGCUCCAUCAUCGAAAACAAAUGGGUGGCAAAAGUGCCGGUUUGUUAUCGAUAGCAUUCUAGCUCAACUAUAUAUAUAUAUAUAUAUAUAUAUAUAUUAUAUAAGUUGACUGUGCUAUUAUAGUAGCAAAAUCCUAAUUGUUGCUACCAGUGUUUUCCACUUUGAUCAACCUUCAUUAUUUCAACCAUUGGAUUAAAUAAUAUAACCCCAUGAACCACUCAACCCAGGGCCACUCAACCUAACCGGGACUAAAUAUCAUCCUGACCCUACAAACUUUCAUCCAAGAGUUAAAAACUUGAUAAAAAAAGAGCGUUUUACUAAUAAUAUAUGCCAAGCUAAAUCUAUAUAUAUAAUAAAUAUAUUUAUUCCGGCACAUAUCUAUUAGAGUAACGAUCGCCCCUCGUCAAUAAGUUGUUUGAUGAUAGAGCUUCCGCAUCGAUAUCCACCCGUAAACGUUAUUUACAAUCAUUAAAACUUCUAGAAAUAAAAAUUUAUAAUUUCGACAUCAUUUAACCUUCAUCAAGACGUCACAAAUUUGACAAUUUUUAACGGUCCGGCUAGGAUACUUGAGUUUAACGAUUAAAAAAUCGAAAUUUGUUGAAUUUUUGAUAGAAAAUUCAUAUUCACUAACUAAUAAAAUCAUAACUCGAUCUGAAUUGAAAGGAUCCGAUCAUCGUAUUUAGACGUCGUCAUUUUUGACACCGUUCAUUAAUACCCAUUGAUGACUUAUAAAUUCGAAAAUUUACAAAUUAUUCUAGAAGUAUCAAAUACCUAGAUCAUAUUAACGGAGGGAUCGCGUUCGAUCUCCAUCAUCGAAAACAACUUAUAGGAUGAGGCUCCAAUACUCAUAAUAAGUAUAGAGCCGUGGCCCUAUAUAUAUAAGUAUAAUAUAAUGGUUGGGUGUGUGGGUUGUGGUGCAUCAAAUUCAAAGUCCUGAAGAAGAGUGAAAAGGGAUAACAGUUCCGCUCCCUGUCGUGUCCUAAGUCUCAUCUCGCGUAGGGGAAUUUCAAAUUAGUAUUUUGAUGAUUUAGAAGAAAAGGCAUGAGAACGAAAGGCGGAAUGGAAAACCAAAAAGAUCUCUAAAAGUUCUUCACAAGACGUAAAGAAAAUGACACGAAUUAAAAAUGCAUUUAGGAAAAAAAGAGUAAUAAAAGAGUGAUCCACAAAACCCUCAGUUAAGAUAAAUUUGCCAGCGUAACAAACUAUAAGAUAAUUAAAUAUUAAUUUAAUUAUUAUUACAUACAAAUAAUUAUAUUAUAUAAAUAAUACUAAUUGGGGAGGGAGAUUGCGUUGGAACAUUGAACCUGACGUAAUGGACCGAUGGUUCGCCGGAACGCCUAUCAAAGAUGGGCCCCACACAUUGCUGUGCAACGGUGCUAAAAGCCCGUCCGUACAGAGCGUUAAUCCUACGACCAAACCCCGAACACCGCUAAGCCCCGCGCUGCCGCCGCCGCGCCGCCGCCGCCGAUGCUCCGCGCCCACAUCGUCGCAUUCCCCUGGUUUAAACCCUAGCUCCGCCGUAACAUCGACCCGAGUCCCAUUCCUCCCUCUCUCCAUCUUCGAUCGCAAUUGCUUCAAACCACAGCCUCUGCAUCCGACCUUCGGUUUACUUGUAGGGCCGAGCUCGAAGCAUCGUUGGUGACCAAAUUCGAAGCCUAGGGGCGACGAGGAGCUUCGCGACGGUGCGAUGCGAAGAGGUCGAGAGGAGAGGGAUUUACGCUUCUUCGGCCGCUUCGAGAGAUCGUCACCAAUUCCUUGAUAUAGCCACCGAUUGGUAAGCUUAUAUUAUAUCUCAUUGAUACAUUACUUCUCGUUAUCUGGCAAUUUACUAAAGAUUUGUGUAAAAAAAAAUUAAAAUGUAAAGAUGCAAACCUGAAGAGGAAGGAGCGCCAGCAUUUCCAACAAUUUUGACGAAUUUCGACAACCUUCGAUCCCUAUGGGCUUUAGCACUCCAUUACCAACAGCCACAUUUAGGCAAGGUAAACAUUUUGAAUGUUAUACUGACACUAUAAAAAUUUUGGCAUUGAGAAACUCAUAUUUUUUUAGCUUAUUUCGAUUGUAAAAAGAAAUUAUUCGAUAAGUUCCUUGAUCAAAACAAAAUUACCUCUAUGCUUAUAUGAAAUGAAUUUUUCUUGUUCCAGGCCGUCGCAAGAAAGUACAUACGAUACACAAGAUUGGUAAAUCCACUCCGAUGCAUUGCAAGGUCGUCUAUCGCCUUAGUGUAUUGAGAACCUCUUGAAUUUUCUUGCAAUUUUGUUUGUAUUGUUGAUAAUAACAUUCAUAGUGCAUGUACAAAUGCUCAUCUUAUGCUAAGCUCGAGAAGCGAUAAGCGUUCUGCUUCAACUAGGGAAUGCCGCUCUCGCCGCCGUAACCCAUCUUCUGAACCCUAGCGUGAUGUUCUUUUCCUUAAGUUAUUGUUAUCCUGUUAUCUAUGAAAUUGGCGGCUUUACCUCUAUCUCCCUGCACAGCACAUAAUAUGCCUCCUAAAAAUCAAUUUUUCAUACACAAACUGCUGAAAAGGUAGUUUUUGUAGCAAAAUUUUUUAAGUGGUGGCUCAGUUGUUUUACGAGAAGUUUGUAUAACAGAUGUUUUUGAAAGUGCAUUCUGCUAGUAAACUACAGGAAUAAAUAAUGUUUUAAUGGCUAAUGCAAGGUUCAAUAUUGCAGGUUUGGUCUUUAAAUUAGUAAAGUACAAAGUUUUCAAGUACAAAUGUAAUAUCUCUUCAAUGAAUUUCUAUAACCUGUAAUAUUUAGGUCCAAGAGAUUGUUGCGGGAUACGGACAUAUAACGGCGUCUCGAUCGUUACUUUCACAUGUGUUCCAAGAAAGGAUAUUUAAAUAGUAGUUCCUCCUUCUGCCUCUUGUAGUUGGAUUCCACCAUAAUAUUUGUCAAUUAAAUACUAAAAACGAAAUAUUAUUGAUAGUAAUCGCCGUAGAUACUUUCCAUCUUUUAAAGUUGAAACAUGCAAUUGGCGCUCAACAAAACUUGUCCUGGUUAAAAGUCAACAAUCCUCGCCAGCAAAUCGCUGAUAUACUGUAAAAAAUUUCUGUGUAAAUUCAAUUUUUGAUUUAUCUACGCAAGCACUUUAAUUAUCUUUCGACCUAAGUAGUCACACCAAAGAUAGCAGAUUAAUCUCACUGUUAAUUUUUUACAUUUACUCUAUUUUCUUCUUAAUUUUUUGUAUACUUUGCCUAUUUACAGAAAAUCCGAAAUAGCUCAUUCUAUUGUGCUCUUUUGUUCUGGUGAAAAUAGUAUCAUGACUCCUGGCUUGUCGUCCCUUGGAACUUGGUGCAGUACUGAAAGUUGCAUAGAGGUACAAAGUAUUUAGAAUAACCAACCAGCCUUCUGAACUAUACAAUCACUAAGAAUAGAAACCAUAAUGAAUUCGAUUGGGUAAAUCCAACACCAGUUUAAGUAAAUAAUGUUGUACGUAUUGGAGUAACUGACGAUAUCAUAGAGCCAUUUUCUUAAUAUUUGCAGAUAUUGUAAUGCAACUCUGUCAACUNNNNNNNNNNNNNNNNNNNNNNNNNAAAGAGUUUGGACUUUAGCUACCUCGAUUGUCAUUCUGCACGAGGUUAACUCGGUGACAGGUCGAUGGUUGUACGUACAUCAUUUUGCUACCGGUACACCCUUGGAUGUGGUCGUACGGUACACUUUGUGGGCAGAUUUCAAACCCGAGCCUCGGAGUGUGCAUUUUCGGUAGGAUGUGUCGUACACUUGCACGUGUACCCGUACGACUUUAGGCAAAUCUGAGGCAGUUGUGAACUGCAGGGGUUUUCGCCAAUUGUGGGCAUUCUCUAUUAGUACCCCAGCCCUAGGUGGUCUUUCUGAGCUUGCACUAGCAAGGAGGAAGCGUAAGCGAUGCUCUCCACACCUCCUAUUCACUUUUCCUUGAUUUUGCUUUGGAUUUUUAUGAGUGUUAAAACACCUCUUUUUGCUCCUUUUUGGGUAUUGGAGGCUUUUCCACCAUUAGAGCUUGGGCUUGGAGCUUGUUGGGGGAGAGAUACUUGGACCUUGAGGACUUUGAACCUUGUUAGAAGCUUCUUAGAGGUUGGUAGCUUAUUCUCUCCCUCUAGAUUUUGGUUUUGAAGCUUAUACUAGAUGAAACCCUAGAUUGGAGAUUUAGGGUUUAUUUUGGGCGUUUUGAUUUUAGGGCUUUUGGAGCUUGAUUGAUUGGAUUAGAACCUUCCUCUAGGAUAGAUUGGAAGGGAUUUAGCUCUCUUUUGGAGCUUGAGAGAGAUCUUCCACUCAUUAGGUGAGUUUUAGCCCUUUUGCUAAAUUUGUUAAAGUGUGAUCUCAUAGAUGAUCGUAAUGCCCGUGUAUCUUUUCGCUCAAUACUUUUAGGGUAUUUUGAGACUCGGGGACAACUUUGUUCGGCGAAAUGAGACCCUACGCGACGGUUCGGUGGGUUUGACCUAGCCACACAAUGAGAAAUUCUCAUUUGUGCUUAAUUAAGCAUCGUUAAAUAAAAAAGCAUGUAUAUUCUUAUUAUAUGUAUUUAUUAUAAUUUUUAGAAUGCUCAAAAUACAUGUGUUGUAUAUGAUGAAAUUUUGGACCUCUAAGUAGUAGAGAGUUGCUUGGGAGAUCUUUGGUUGCAUUUAGCAUUCUCUAUGAGACUUGGUUUCAUGCUUCUAUGGUAUAAAUGAGUUCGGAAUCAUGCAUUUAAACUUGAGGUUACUUGUGACAUGAAAGAUGACAAGAUUGUCAUUUAGGAGGUAUGUGAACUAGAGAGCUAAUGUCAUAAAGCGGCAUUGAGCUCGGGACAUGUGAGAACCUAGUGAGUAGGGCCAUCGAGGGACUUGGGUUACAUGUUGGACACCAAAUUGCCUAAGUGUCAUCAAGGGGCACUAGGCAUAGCAAAUGCUAAAACUUCACAUUGUGACUUAGACUAGAUCUUCGGGAUGCUAGUUAUGAUACCAUGUUAGAGACAUGAGGAUUGGAUAUUUGAGACUUGGACUAUGCUUGCUUGCCAUUUGUGCUCAUUCGCACAUGCUUGUGAGGGUCGCUCCCUACAAGCCGGCACUCCGGAGUUGGCCUAUGCGAUUUUUGUUCGCGCGUGCAGUAUUGAGGAGCCUACGGGGUCGAGUGGGACAGACACAUUCCAUGAGUAGGAAUGUCGGGCUACCACAGGCACUUAGGCGGCACAAGCUGGACUACCUUGGGUAGGUCCCUAAUUGGAAAUGGAAAUCGACACGGUUUGAGAAUGAACAAUCACUACUAGAUAGGCUUAGUAGUUGGAUUACAUUUACAUGCAUAUAGCAUAGGGUUGAGACAUGUAGUCUACUUGACAGUUACCUAUUUCAUCACAGUAUACUGGGUUGCCAUGAUAGAGCUUAUACAUCAUAUUUGAAUAAAGGGUUGCAACAGUAAACUAUUGCCUUUGAUUACUUUUCCUUAUGAUAGAAUAGAUGUACAACAUUUGACAUCGUGCUUAUGAGGGAUAUAGUAGUAUAGCAUUUUACUUAUGCACUCUCUUUCAGCAGUUUAUUUACAUGCUCCUUUUUAUUACUUAUUGCUAUUUGCAUUACUUACCCUUGUUUUUAGGGCCUAGUGGAGCAGGAGCUGAGGUCAGUAAUUGCCCACUGGGAACUAUAAAUUAUAGUUCUCACGCCCUCUUUUUCUCGAUGUUUUUCAGAGCCUUCCACGCAGGGAGAGGCCAGGGAUCGCGGAAAGGGUAUCGCCUCGGGCUAGCGUGCUUACCGAGGGAUCGUUCGAUAGGUGGUCUACCUCUCGUGUUAUCUUUUUGUGAAAGGUUGAGAGUUGUACCCGCAUAUGUAUAGAGACCACCAUUUUUGUACUAGAGACAGAUAUUGUACUACUUAUGAUUCCUUUUAUUGUCUAGCUUUACUUCUUUACCUUGGUGUAGAUGUUAGAACUUUACUCGCUCUGAUAUCAUUAGCUGCUUAUUAUUUCGUUUCUUCUAUUUGUUCUACUGCUUGCAUGUACUUCCGUUUCUUUUUUGUAGACGCCUUAUAUGUGUAGACAUAUGGCGGGUCUGGGCACGCUACCGGGAGGGCCUCCGCCGGUCCCGGGGCGUGACAUUAACUCUCUGACAAUAAGGUCAAGUCUCACCGAAGAUAAAUCAACUGAUCAACAUGAUCAUAUCGCAACAUGGAGUACACACCAAUCUAUACGGUAAUGAACAUGACAAUCAAUAGGCAAGUAGAGUAAAAGCACAAGCCAAUAUGAAGUCAACAGAAGUUGUUCUACUUAAUUAAUAGAAUAGAUCAAGCGAAAAGAAAAGCGAGUAAGUUACAACUUUACUGACUUCAGAAUGGAGCACCCACCUAACCAAGUACCUGAGUUCUCGACUCGAUCAGUGUAUUUAACCGUCACCUGUAUAGGACAUACGAUCACCAAAUGCCACAAUGAGUAUCCCACGUGUCAACUAUAUCAAUUCGACACGAUCAACCUGUACUAUUAUACUAUAGUGCGACUGGAACAUCAGUUCCAUAAACCGACAUACAUAACUAAGCCCAAGCCAAGCCGACUCAACAAGGAGUCACCAUGUCACAAUCACAGUCUCAAGAUUCACCGCUUUAGGUGAUGAGACUACCGCACACUAAGUGUUCACCAAACUGAACGACAACGGCCGCACAAGGCUACAGCCGAACCUACAAGUGUUGUUCUGAUGAUCCGAACACCACUUUGGUGUCGCACCAUGCACACACUGUACAAUUGGCACGAUGAUGCUCGCAAUAUUGCAACCUCACCAAUUGGUGACAUAAAGUCACCCACAAUGCGCAAAGAUUCACUCAGAACAUCGGACGUGCAAAUCCAAUUUCCGAAUCUGCCGACUUCCGAGAACUCCACUGGGAUGCCACUUCGGGUAUGAAGUGUUCCGAGUCAUGCCAAAACCUCUUUAACUCAUAUCUGCUGUCCCCAAACACCCUAUUUUAUGUGUUGGGACAGCCGCAAAGGAAAUGCACCGAAAAAAAGAGCCGUAGCUUUGAAAGUGACUCGAAGUGGGUCGAACGAUACGUAUUUCGGUAUUCAGACCGCCCACAACGCACUUGCUGCCAUCAGGGGCACAAAACACGAGGCUAUCAUAGCCAACAAGGCUCAACAAACAUUCCGGACAGCCACACAAUAAGCUUCGUGGUAACGAAACCGAGAACCGCGCUAUUGGUAUGAUUUCGGCUCCAUUUUAUGUCGUUUCACACCAAAUCGGUCUCGAAAUGUUUCCCAAACCUCGAACACUAUAUUUAAACAUCUAAUACCAUCAAACACUACUGCCCAACACCACUUAUAAUGCAUAAAGCAUUAAAAAGUCCAAGUCGCCCCAAUAUUACACGUAACGCAUCAUUAUAAUACAAUAGAGGGAUUUCAAGUGUUUUACUAGGUUGGAGCUAAACGAGUGUAGUCGAAUGGCACAGGAGGGUCGAAGACGCACCUCUAGCAACAGCGAACCAACAAUGGCGAUUGCCGACCAUCAGAGAGCGAAAGUUGGCCGCACGGAGCCAAUUUUGGGUACACGACGGGUUCGCGAUUCUAUCGAGCUUUCGGAUCACUCCAGCAAAGCAAGCAUCAUGUCACGCCCCGUAACCCGCCUCUUUGGUAUCGGCCCCGUCGAUAGACCGCCGAACGGACAGAGUCUACCCUGUACGUCCAAGGCGUCGGAACAGUACAAUUCAAGUGGUUCCAAAUAUGAACAGAAUUCAUACAUAGAAUGCAUAAGGAAGGUAUCGAAAACAUAAAUACUAAGCUAUUACAAGCAUUCGUCUCAAUUUUUACAUUUUCUUUACAUUCAACUUCCAAGUACAAUCCACUUAUUAUUACAAGUUUUUUCUUUUCUUUCCACACCCCUAAGCUAAACUGACUUAGGGUACUUCUAUCUCUGGUCUCGGCGGUAGGGAGCUAUCUACCGAGCUACGCCCUUUCCUCGCGCCGCCGCGCCGCUGACGUGUGGGCCUGAAAAACGUGGGGUGAGAACUAUAUACAUAGUUCCUAGUGGGUACAGCCACCCAAGGGAAGAGCUCGACCCACCAGGUCCAAAGGAGGCAAAACAAGCUUGUUAGUACAACAGAUAUAUAUAAACAUAUAAAAUUUAUGCAACUAACCACUAACAUGCUUAUGCCUCGCAACAUGCGAUAAUGCAACAUACAUGCAAUACAAGUAGAUCUACCGUUUUUACCUUUUUAUUUCAUUACCUAUAUUCUUUACAAUCCACUACUAAGAUUCAUUUAUCUUAGCCAAGUUAUACUACCCGACUUGGUCUUCAGUCAACUACCAGUGAACUGCCGCUCAUUGUUCAGGCUCGAGGUGAGGACGUCUCACAUGCCUCUCAGCCUUAAAUCCACUCGACUGUAGGUCAUCCGUUGGGUAAGGAAAUACCAUCAAACCCUUGACCACAAGUCGCAUACCGGGGGAAGAGAACCACACAUACCCGUAUCCACAAGUCACAUAUUGGGCGAGGAGAACCACACAUACCCGUUGAAUCACUGCCGAGCGAGGAGAACCAUACAUACCUGCAGUUAUGAUUCACUUGCCAGGCGAGGAGAACCACACGUACCUGCAAGUAUAACCGCUACCGAGCGAGGAAAACCACACGCACUUGCAGCCACCAAUCCUAGGGAUUCCGAAAUCCACUUUUCAAGACUUAAGGGUUUAUCUCAUACCCUAUGUUGUUAACCUUUCUAGGUUCAAGCCACUCGUACCCUAGUGGUCAUUCUACCACUAUGUUCCAUAACCUAGGUUCUACAACACUAGGUCCAAUGUCCAACUUAUGUUUAAUAACACUAGGUUCAAUGUCCAACCUAUGUUUAAUAAUACUAGGUUAAAUAUCCAAUCAAUUAUUUUCUAUCCUAGUUGUCCACAUCUAGGAUUCAUAGUUUUCAUGUCAUCUAGUCCUUGGCGCCACACUUAUCGAAUUCUCUAAUUUUUCCUAGAGUUCAUCGACCUAUAUUCACAUUCAUACCUAGGCAUACAUAUGCAUCCUAUAUGUUUCACAUGCCUAUGUUCUUGUUCAAUGAUAGAUUAUUUAUCCUAAGUAGCAUGCCAUCUAUGACUACUUAUUUAACCAAUUAAUCUAUCAUUACAUACAUGCAUCAAUAAAUAAAAUCAUACUUCACUUUGGCAUGGAAGCGACCUACUCACUUCGGUGAAGCACAACUCACCUCACAAUGCUUUCUAAUUGCUUGUAGACACUUGCAAUUAGGCCAACCACUUGGACCUCCAAGCUUAUUCCCAAGCUUUCCUUGCCCUAUAUAAGAGAUCCCUCGUUACCGUUUUCGAACCACUAAACGAUCUUUGCGUUUGAAAUCAAAUGAUCUCACAUGAUUUCCUAACCCUCAAUUAGGGUUUCAAAGAGUUAAAACAACAUGGGUUAAUUACAUCGGUAGUCCCCAACCUUCUCACCAAUUUUCACUUGAGUCCCCAACCUUUUUAUUUUUGCAAUUGAGUCUCUAACCUCUUGAUUUUAUUACAAUUACGGCCCAACCGUAAAAAAAACUGUUAAAAUUAACGGAAUUGCCACGUCAGCGUCUAUUUGGCAAUCUUUUGCAUGCAAUUUAGGUCCCUAAACUUUGCACAUUUUUCAUUUAGUCCCUAAAAAUAAAAUUUCAAAAUUUUAAAUUUAAAUUCAAAAAUAAUAUUAAAAUUAAAAUUUUAAACUAACAAGAAAUUAGAAUUUUGAAUUUUAAUGUGAGAUCCCUGGUGUUUGACUAUGGAGGCUUGUCGACAGCUCUAGAGAGUGUCGGGACAAGUCCGAGUCGCGUUGGCGUCAAAUAGACGCAAAACGGACUCCGUGCGACGCGAGGGCAGCCUUCAGCGAAGAAAUCUGCAAAAUAGCAGAUUUUCCUGCUUGCUGUACCGGUACAGCCAGCGAGGUGUACCGGUACACUAUACUGGUUGAGCACGUACUGCUCUCGGGUUUGCCUCCUGUACCGGUACGCGAUCCCGUGUACCGGUACACCAGGGUAGGUGAGGGGGUGUUUUGGUCUUUUUCUACCUCGUUCGUAUCACCCUCCUCUCCCCAGCUUAUUUACAUGUAGAGUGAGGCUGAGAGAGAGAGUUUUGCUCUUGGUUCUCUCCCUCUCUCUCUCUAGAGCCGAUUGUGAGCAAGGUGGAGCUCGGGUGAAGUUUCAUUGCCGACGUGGUGCCGCGGAGCCGUUCGGGCGCACGUUGUGUCGUCUUAGUGCUGUGAGGAGCUCGAGCGAGCGUGGAUUUCUGUCGUCCUCAACAUUGCGCCGACUCUUGAGGAUCUAUCGAGGUGAGUGCUCUGUGGAAUUGCUGCGCAUACUUCGGGUAUCAUUAAUUCGAGCUUAAGUGCUGAUUCGCAGGAUCUUGUCGUCGGCUGUUAGUAUUGCAGCUCGUUCUCGACGUAGGAGCAUCGGAUUGCGACGAGACUUGGUUCGUUGGAUUCGGGACUUCGAGAGGAAUCCACGAAACCCUUACUUGCGAAUUUUUGUGAAGGUUAGCUUGGUCGAAAUCCUUCUCUUCUCUGCUGUUGUGGAUUUUGGACUGAAUUGAGGAUUUUUGGUGUUUUUAGUUUGGAGUUAGCUCGAUUUCGAGACUCGGGCGUUUUUGGUCGAUACAACAGGUGGUGUCGCAGCCGAGGGGGUUCCGUGCUGCCAGGGAUUAGCGUGCGACGUGGGUUACAUCGGUUUUGACUCCUAAGUUCAUAAUCGUCGACAUGUAUAGAUCUCGAUUUUUGGAUAAUCUAUUCUAGCUCGAAUUUAUGGAUUAAAUGGUAGAUUGCAUAUCUGAAUUUGGAGCAUGUGGUAAUAAAUUGAACAGGUUAUACAUGUUGGACUUGGAAGUUGAAUGAGGAGAAAAUCUGCGAUUUGGACCUGUCACUUGAUUAAACUGCCUGAUUUAGCUCUAGGAGCCGAUAUUAAAUUGUACUGUCGCAGUAUCUUCGAGACGAGUACUCCCGGUAGUUUAGAAUACAUUUACGCUCGUGCUGGUAUGCCGAGUGGAUUUUUACAGGGUCGUUCAGGUUGUUCCGGACUGUUGGAUGCCGUCAGAGUUGACGGUGGACCCGUAUCGCCUUUUUGGCGUCAGAUUGUGCCGAGUGCACGUUACCUGUUUGUUGUUAGACCAGUUUGAGUCGAUUACUUGACUUUGGCUAGUUGGAGCCUGAUUGAGCUCGACAGAGAUACGCUGCAUACUCGGUUGGGUAGCGCCCACGAGUGCCACUCCGGAGGCGGGCUUUGUGCUUUCGCAUUGGUGUCGCUCAUGCCAGUUGGACUUGCUCUCCACGGACCAGUUAGUGUGGAUAGAGCCCGAUAGUCCCAACGGGGCAGGGACGGGUGUAUUCACAGUCCCAGGGACGGGUAUGUUUACAGUCCCGAUUGGAUUUGGUCAGAUUUGACAUGUCCUACAGUUGGUUAGUGGAGAGCAUGAUAGUGUAGUGACUUAUAGCGGUUGAGUUAUUUCCUGCAUUUUUCCUACUAUCCUGGCUCCCUUCUGUAGACUUAGUGGGUGGACCGAUGUUGUUUUGGGCGGUACCCACUGAGGACUACUUGUUUUUACAGUAGUUCUCACGCCCAGUUGUUACCCCUGUUUUGCAGAGCCACAGGUUUCGGCUGCUGCGCCUUCCGCGGAUCAGGAUCGAGGCAAGGGCGUCGCGAGUUAGAGCCCUACCCGCUGAGCAGAGCUAGAGGCACCCUACUGCAGGUAGUUGUUUUACUUCGAGCUUAUGUACAUAGUACUUAACUCGCCAGUGCGAGUAACGCUGUAUUUUGGAUUUGGACUAUGUAUAUGAAACAAAGUUUGUUUAGCUUCUGUUUUCUCUAGCAGCUCUCUACUACUGUUCGUAGUAGUGUUUGAUUUACAGGUACAGCUGUCGCUUCGUAUACAGGGAAAAUUUCUUUGUAUACGGCGGAUUUGUCGGCGUGCCCGGGGAACGAGACAUCCGGGGCGUGACAGAUUAAGUUGGUGUCAGAGCUUUGCUAUAGGUCGUUGGGACCUAAGAAACCUAAGUUUGGCAGACCUUAGGAAAACAAGACGCGAGAAGCGUAAUUUAAUUGCGAAAGUCAAUGAUUAUUUGUUCUAACUCCUCCUAAAGUGGAGUGAGUGACUGAAGGAGUUCCCGUUUUGGCCUGAGAAAUUAUGUUGGCUGCAGACAACAUAAUUUUGGAGGAAAACAGGGACCGCCUUCCAAACUUUCGUUGAUUGGGUCGAGAGUGUUGCGUUGUAUCUGACCCCGAUUUGUUCCUUUCAGCUAUGUAUCGUCGCCGAGGUCGACCAUCGCUGCGGGAGCGUGCCCAGUUGGCGCGGGAUCGUGCUGGACCUUCCGAGAGACCUGAGCAGAUGGAUCAUAGUGCACGGCAGGAGCAGAGAGACAGACCGGAGGUGAGUGCACCCCCUGUUGUGGAGCCGAGUGCGCGACCUGAGGCUAGCGCACCCCCGGAUCUGAGUGCACAGCUGGCUGCCCUGACUGAGGUGACGAGGCAGCAGGGGGAGUUGCUGCAGAGGUUGUGUGAGAGGAUAGCUCAGUNNNNNNNNNNNNNNNNNNNNNNNNNNNNNNNNNNNNNNNNNNNNNNNNNNNNNNNNNNNNNNNNNNNNNNNNNNNNNNNNNNNNNNNNNNNNNNNNNNNNNNNNNNNNNNNNNNNNNNNNNNNNNNNNNNNNNNNNNNNNNNNNNNNNNNNNNNNNNNNNNNNNNNNNNNNNNNNNNNNNNNNNNNNNNNNNNNNNNNNNNNNNNNNNNNNNNNNNNNNNNNNNNNNNNNNNNNNNNNNNNNNNNNNNNNNNNNNNNNNNNNNNNNNNNNNNNNNNNNNNNNNNNNNNNNNNNNNNNNNNNNNNNNNNNNNNNNNNNNNNNNNNNNNNNNNNNNNNNNNNNNNNNNNNNNNNNNNNNNNNNNNNNNNNNNNNNNNNNNNNNNNNNNNNNNNNNNNNNNNNNNNNNNNNNNNNNNNNNNNNNNNNNNNNNNNNNNNNNNNNNNNNNNNNNNNNNNNNNNNNNNNNNNNNNNNNNNNNNNNNNNNNNNNNNNNNNNNNNNNNNNNNNNNNNNNNNNNNNNNNNNNNNNNNNNNNNNNNNNNNNNNNNNNNNNNNNNNNNNNNNNNNNNNNNNNNNNNNNNNNNNNNNNNNNNNNNNNNNNNNNNNNNNNNNNNNNNNNNNNNNNNNNNNNNNNNNNNNNNNNNNNNNNNNNNNNNNNNNNNNNNNNNNNNNNNNNNNNNNNNNNNNNNNNNNNNNNNNNNNNNNNNNNNNNNNNNNNNNNNNNNNNNNNNNNNNNNNNNNNNNNNNNNNNNNNNNNNNNNNNNNNNNNNNNNNNNNNNNNNNNNNNNNNNNNNNNNNNNNNNNNNNNNNNNNNNNNNNNNNNNNNNNNNNNNNNNNNNNNNNNNNNNNNNNNNNNNNNNNNNNNNNNNNNNNNNNNNNNNNNNNNNNNNNNNNNNNNNNNNNNNNNNNNNNNNNNNNNNNNNNNNNNNNNNNNNNNNNNNNNNNNNNNNNNNNNNNNNNNNNNNNNNNNNNNNNNNNNNNNNNNNNNNNNNNNNNNNNNNNNNNNNNNNNNNNNNNNNNNNNNNNNNNNNNNNNNNNNNNNNNNNNNNNNNNNNNNNNNNNNNNNNNNNNNNNNNNNNNNNNNNNNNNNNNNNNNNNNNNNNNNNNNNNNNNNNNNNNNNNNNNNNNNNNNNNNNNNNNNNNNNNNNNNNNNNNNNNNNNNNNNNNNNNNNNNNNNNNNNNNNNNNNNNNNNNNNNNNNNNNNNNNNNNNNNNNNNNNNNNNNNNNNNNNNNNNNNNNNNNNNNNNNNNNNNNNNNNNNNNNNNNNNNNNNNNNNNNNNNNNNNNNNNNNNNNNNNNNNNNNNNNNNNNNNNNNNNNNNNNNNNNNNNNNNNNNNNNNNNNNNNNNNNNNNNNNNNNNNNNNNNNNNNNNNNNNNNNNNNNNNNNNNNNNNNNNNNNNNNNNNNNNNNNNNNNNNNNNNNNNNNNNNNNNNNNNNNNNNNNNNNNNNNNNNNNNNNNNNNNNNNNNNNNNNNNNNNNNNNNNNNNNNNNNNNNNNNNNNNNNNNNNNNNNNNNNNNNNNNNNNNNNNNNNNNNNNNNNNNNNNNNNNNNNNNNNNNNNNNNNNNNNNNNNNNNNNNNNNNNNNNNNNNNNNNNNNNNNNNNNNNNNNNNNNNNNNNNNNNNNNNNNNNNNNNNNNNNNNNNNNNNNNNNNNNNNNNNNNNNNNNNNNNNNNNNNNNNNNNNNNNNNNNNNNNNNNNNNNNNNNNNNNNNNNNNNNNNNNNNNNNNNNNNNNNNNNNNNNNNNNNNNNNNNNNNNNNNNNNNNNNNNNNNNNNNNNNNNNNNNNNNNNNNNNNNNNNNNNNNNNNNNNNNNNNNNNNNNNNNNNNNNNNNNNNNNNNNNNNNNNNNNNNNNNNNNNNNNNNNNNNNNNNNNNNNNNNNNNNNNNNNNNNNNNNNNNNNNNNNNNNNNNNNNNNNNNNNNNNNNNNNNNCCCCUCUGAUCUCCUGGUUUUGUGUUAAGGUUUCCAUCUUUUGCGGUAGCUGUUAUUGUUUGAUUGGAAAUGGGAUUUGACUCGCUGCUUAGCCCGCCGCCUGUUUGAUUCUUGAUCUGGUUAUGGAUCUGCUCUACACCAAUUUUUCUUUGAAUGAAUUGGUUUGUAUUUAGCCCACCAUCAUUUUGAUGCUUGUUCUCUUUUGUGUUUCUGCUCCACUCAAUCUACUACUAAAGCCUUAAUUUCUUUUUUUUCUUUUUCUUUGAAAGAAUUAAGUUGCUAUUUAGCCCGCUACCUGACUGAUGUUUUCUCUAGCUAUGUUUCUGCUCCACACAAUCGAUCAAAGUUUGAAUUUUACUUUGAAUGAAUUGGGUGUGUAUCUAGCCCACCAUCUGUUUGAUGCUUGUCCUAUUUUAUGAAUCUGCUCCGCAAAAUCGGUUGAAGUUUGAAUCUUUCUUCUUGAGUGAACUGGGCUUGUAUUGAGCCCACCAUCUGUUUGAUGCUUGUUCUGUUCAUGUUUCUGCUCCGCACAAUCUAUUAAAGUUUGAAUUUUUAAUGAGAAUUUCAUGUGGUGGGUGUGCUUCUGAAUUGGUCCUUAUUGAACUCGCUACCUGUUCAACAGUAUGCUUAUGUGUCCGUCCACCGUCUGCUUGGUGCUUGUUCGAUGUGUAGAGUUUCCUAAAUUUGUUCAUUUCGGUGCCUUUAUUUUCAGCAUAUUUAUGAGAAUUAGGCGCCCUUGAAUGGUUUGCGUAUGCUUCAGUUAUGGGCCUUGAUGUGUCCACCUCUGUUUGAUGUUUGUUCUCAGUAUGUUUCUUAUCUACAAUCUCUUUUCAAAUUGUUGAUAAACAUAUGUGGGUAUCAUUUAGCACUGCUUUCUGCUAAUUUCUCAGACUGUUUGGUGUUGUAUUGCUUCCAAAAUUUUCAGUUAUGGCAUGUCGGCCUUCAUGUAGGCUAAAUGCGACACUUUGGUUCUUUUAGUAAGAUGUUGUUGUAUAUGAUACUUCUCUAUUUCUACGAUUAACUAUGUAACCAUGAACUUCUUCAUCCCAGAAUCUAUAUUUUUGCGCUUUGUGAAUUUCAUUUGUGGGCGUUACUAAGACCUAAAAAGUAGUAAUAGAUGUAGUUGGACAAUAAAUAAUGGAAAAAUUCUUUUAGGGAUGUUGUUAUAUUUUUCUGUUCCUCUUAGUUAAUCAGAACCAUAAUUUUUUGCACAAAGAAGUGGUUUAUCUUCUGCCAAACAAUUCUUUGGGUGCUGAACAGUGGUGUAUCGAUUUAAAUUCAUAUUUGAUGGUUCUCUUCGUAGCACUUGAAAAUGUAAACUACUCUUCUGUGAUUAGUAUUUCCUGAUAAUUGCAACUAUAUCCAACAUUAUUGCCGAGCUGUUGUUGUCAUCUUGUUUUAGGGCCUUGCCUUCUAUUUCAAUCUGCUAAAGUUUUAUUGAAUCGGAACGCCUCAACUUUUCUGGCGACAACUUUUCAAUAUUUAUUCUCAGUAAAUUCACCUGCAUGUUCUGUAAUUAUUUGAAUGUUACUUCUGUGUUAGAAAAAAAAAAAAAUCAUCAAAAGUAAUGUUGUUUGCAAAUAGUUGUUUCUCUGAUGAAUAUGUUGAGAUGGUUUUGAUGUAGUCUCUCCAGGAAAUGGGUGUUAGGUAAAAAAACACAUGCGUAGAUGCUUCUUGUGAGAAGGAUUACAAAGGAUAAGGUGAGAAUAAUCAUCUUAAACGCUUUUGAAUGUUUUUAACAGUGACAUUCUGUGCUGGCAUAAGGAUUGUUUUGCUUCUCUCCAAAGUUGUAAGGUGCAAAAAUGUCGUAUUAAUUUUUUUUUUUUUUUUAAAGAACUAAAAAAGAAAGAAAAACUGAGAAGAGCUUAAAUAAUUGUGAGUAUAUUAUUUCUUUUGGAGGAAUGGAGAAAUGGGCUGGGUUUUCAUAAUGCGGCCUCAUGUGAUAGAGGCAAUGUAUUUUUUUUUUGAGAGAAAGGUAGCACGCUAUUUGCUUCAUUCAAUAAGAGAAAUGAACUAAGCGUACAAGGUGGAAGCAGUUUAGGCUUCCGUGAGUGAUAGAGGCAAUGUGGAGUGAGAAUUCUUUAAUCUUUCUGUAUAAUUUUAUGGUUUAUGGUUUAGGAAGUGUGAGAGAAGUCUGGUUCCAGGAUGGAAUAAGAACCAUUCCUUCCUGUUUUUUUUUUUUUUUUUUUUUUUUUUUUUUUUUUUUUUUUUUUUUUUUUUUUUUUUUUUUUCCUGUUUGGAAACAAUAUAUGCUGAUGGAAGUUACUUUUCCUUAUUAAACAAACUUUACACUUCCUCGAUUAUAAUUUCAUUUCUGUAUCUUGGACCAGAAACUUCUAUGCGGUUGCUUCUUGUUAGAUUAGAUACUUAUUAAAAGGGGGUGGUUUCAAUAGAAUCGUUCAUUCUCUGAAUUUUAUCUCGAUGGGGAAAACAAUAAAAACUUUAUUUGUAUUGGCUUAAUAAAGUUCACUCCAGAACUUUCCGAAUCAAAUAUAAUAAAUAUAGUUAUUAUUAUUCAUUCUAUAUUAUUUUAUUAUAUUAUUUUAUUUUUAUUCUCAUUUUAUCGUAAUUGAUCUCAGCCCAGUUUUGAAUGACUUCAAUUUCGAUUUUGUUUUUAUUACUUCGAACGAAAUAACGAAAGUGACUCUUUAUGGUCAGAAACGAUGUUACCCGAUCUACUUUCAUCCAAAUAAACUGAUCCUUGUUGUUUGAGAGGGGCAGACUCCGAAUUUGCAAAUUCAUGAGAUGCGCGCUUAUCCUUUUGGUUCCGGUAUAAGUACAAACUGUCUAUUUCAGAAAUAGAUAUAAGUUCAGAUAUAAGCAAGAAUUAUAUUAAUUUUGUAUUUAAAUGAAAAUUAAAUUAUUUUCGUGAAUAAGAAAAAUAGCGUUUGUAUCGAUAAGAUGAAAUAAGAAGAAUAGUGUGUAGUUAUAAAUAAGAAAUAAUGAUAUUACACCUUUUAUUAUAUUUGAAUUUAAAUUUUUAAAAUUUAUUUUUAUAUUUUAAGUUUUAAAUUUUAAAUUUUAAAAUUUAAUUUUUAAAUUUUAAAUUCUAAAAUUAAAAAUUUAAAUUAAAAUUUCAAACUUUAAAAUUUGAGAUUAAAUUUAAAUUUGAAAAAUAUAAAAUAUCAAAUUUUAAGUUUAAAAAUUUUAAAAUAUCAAAUUUAAAAUUUAAAAUUUAAAAUUAGAAUUUAAAAUUAAAAACUUUAAUUUUGAGAUUACAAAUUAUAAAUUUUAAAAAUUUAAAAUUAAAAUUAAAAUUUUUAAAUUUUUAAUUUUAAAAAUAAAAAUAGGAGUGUGAACAACAAUUAUUGUAGUGUCCCUGAUGUUUAGCUGUCUGAGAGACUUCAGCAUCUGUGGCUUGUUGACGUGUUUGGUGGAUGUUGGGACAAGUCGGAGUCGUUUUGGCCCGAAGUGGACGCAAAACGGACUCGGCGCGGUGCGAGAGUAGAGUUCUAAUACUGAAAUCUAUAAAGUGCAGGAUUUUAGUGUUGAGUACUGGUAACUGGGAGGAGUACCGGUACUUCAGAGGGAUUACAAAACUGAAUGCUCUUGGGUUUGUGCAGUUUGAUGCUCAGUACUGAUACCUGUUGAUGAGUACCGGUACUGGGACUGCGUACCGGUACUACAUCGGGCUAGUACCGGCACCCGGCGCGCAAGUGUGCAGAAAGAGGGCCAAGUAUCAGUACCCAACUUGAGUACCGGUACUCCAAAAGGCAAAUUGAGUGGGUAAGGGGCCUUUUGGUCAUUUUUGUUGGCGAUAAAUCCAAACCGACCCCCCAGCCUUCUCUCUUUGUGCAUGAUGUUGGAGAAAACAGGUUAGCUUCCCUCUUUCUCUCUCUAAUUUCUGCUCUCCGUUUCUUUGUGAUUUUGGAGAGUUGAUCUUAGUUUUCGUUCGCUUGUCUUUGGAGGUUUGCGCGUGCACUGUGGUUGAGUCUGGUUGAGGCCGUUGGAGGUCAAGUUAGCACGAGGUUUCUCCUAUCGACUUCUAGCCGACGUUGAACGAGCGUUCGGGGUGGGUUAGUGUUUACCGAAAUCGUCGGAUUUCCUUCUAAGUCAUAGAAUUGUCAGCAUAUAUUUUUGGCUUUGUACAUCAUGCUUAGUAGCUCGAAUUUAUAGAUUUGCAUGUUUUAUAUGAAAUCUGAAUUUGGAGCAUAAUUUAGUGAUUUUAGAUGAAGUUAUAUAUACCGAACUGAAAUUUGACUUAAGAGAAAACUCGUUAAACCUAUACUGUCACUUUUUGAAAGUUAACCGAAUUAGCUUCAGAAGCUGUUAUUCUUUUAUAUUACCGCUGUUAGUGCGUAGUAGAUAUUCAGGUUAGUGUAGGUUGACAUUACGCUCGUACUAGAGGGCCAAGCUCGUUUUACAGUAGCAUUUAGACUGUUUCGUACUGUCGGGUGUCGUCGGGGUUGACGGUGGACCCAGAUGUUUACAUCUUGUUCCAGAUUGUACCGAGAGCACGUGAGUUUUGGUUGUUAGACCAGUUUGUCCCAUUUGCAUUGACUAUAGCCUGUGUGAGGUUGAUUAAGCUCGGCAGAGACACGCUUGUAUACUCGGUUAGGUCGCGCCCACGAGUGCCGCUCCGGAGUGAGACUUUACUUACGUUGAUGUCGCAGCAGUCCUGUUUUGAUAGUGUACUUUGACCGGCCACCCCUAUGGAUGGUGUACGGUGUAGCUUGGCUACAGAUAGGGUGGAUCCGUUUGGGCAGCCCUUAUGAGAUUGGGUCAGUGUGAUGCAUGUCUAUGUCUACAGAUAGUGUACGGUGUAGCUUGGCUACAGAUAGGGUGGAUCCAUUUGGGCAGCCCUUGUGAGAUUGGGUUAGUGUGAUGCAUGUCUAUGUCUACAGAUAGUCUGUGUUGGUUAGUGAUAGUAUAGUGGCAUGUAGCUGUAGAGUUCUUUCCAAUUUUUCCUUACUAUCCUUUGCACAUAUUACUGUAGACUUAGUGGGUAGGCCGUUGGGGUCGGUGACGGUACCUACUGAGGACUACUCUGUUUUGUAGUAGUGCUUACACCCAGUUAUUGCUACCUCUUUGCAGAACCUUCGUCUGCGGCUGCUGCUGUUGCUGAUUCCGACCAUGGUAAGGGAGUUGCAAGCUAAAUCCCUUCCAUACCUGGUCUUUUGCUAGAGAAGCACCCAUCAGAGGUAGUUUUGUGGUUUUUCUAUAUACAUACUGUUAUGCUAAUGGUACUCGCUGGAGUGAGAUGGUUUUGUUAGCUUUUGUAUGUACAGUGGACCGUUUUAUGUUUUAUAUAUACAUGUUUCAGUUUUAGCAGUUCUGUAUUUUGGUUGUAGUUCCUAUUUGUACUAGGUAUAGCUAUCGCUUCGUGUACACGAAAACUUCCUAUGUAUACGAUGGGUCUGUUGGCAUGCCCGAAAAAACGUGAUAAUCCGGAGCGUGACAAUUAUUUAAAUAAUUUAAUAUUAAUUAGAUUAAUUAAUUAUUUAAAUAUAAUAAUUAGAUUAAUUAAUGCUUUAAAAUUAUUAAUUAGUGUUUAAUUAAUCUUGUUCUUGAUUGUUCUAGGGAUAAAGGUGGAACAACAAUUACAUGCUUCUAUCGGAUUAUAACAGCUUAUUUCAACUACAUAAGAACUACUAUUCCCGGGUACGAGAAAUAGCAUUCGGGUACCAAACCAACCAUGGUAUAGUGAAUAAGAGUGGAAUAGUUGUUCCACCUUUCUCCUGAAACAUGGUAGGAACAUUCUUAAUUAAAGUUUAAAUCUAAUUUUAAUUAUUAUAUUAAUUUAUUAAUUAAUCUAAUUGAUGUAUUUUAAGUUAUUAUCUAUUGCUUAAAUUGUUAAAUAAAUAAUUAAUCUAUUAUUUAUGGUUAAUUAGCCCAUUAAGAAUUAUUUAUUUAAUAUGUUUAUCUAAUAACUAAUAUUUAUAUUGGUCAACUAAUUAAAUUAAUUUCUCAAUAAAUUAUCUCACUAAUUAAAUAAUUUACUCAUUAAUUAAAAAGUUAAGUUAUAUUUUUUAUUUAAUUAAAAAAUUAAAUAAUUAAUAUAUUUUUCUGUUAUCCUAUAAAAUAUUCAUAGCUAAUAAAAUUUUAAUUUAUUAAAUUAUGUUCAAUUAAUAUUUUGAUAUUAAUUAAUUAGAUAAAAUAUUAUUAAUUUAAAAUAAUAAAUACUUUUAUUCCCACUAUUCCAAUCAAUAAUAAUUACUUUUAUUCCCGCAUUUCAUGAACAACUCAAUNUUUUUUUUUAUUAAAUUUAAAUAUUUUAUUUGUUACAAAUCUUUACUGAUCUACUUUUAUGGACUAGAACAUAAAUACCGAUUUUAAAUUUGAUAAAAUUAUUAAUAUAUUUAAUAUUUCAUUUACUUAACUCAAAAUUAUUUAAUUGUGAAAUUUAAAGUAGAGAGAGAAUGAACAUAAAAAUUUGAAGCUUCGACGUAACAUAACAUUAUAAAUUAUUAUUUUAGAAAAAUAACUUAAAAUUGGAUAUAAUUUUUUUUUUUCCUUUUUCGGCAGACAUGUUCCACUUUUUCUAUGGGUGCAGUGCCACAAGGAAUGUCAAUCCAGUUCACUGUUGGCAAGUCAUCUCAUACCCGAUUUGAAAUUUCUUCAAACUCGGCUCUUUGCUCAAAAAACUAGCAGCAAACUCACUUUUUUCAGCUCAAUAAAAAUAAAUUAAUAAUAAUACUAAUUAUAAUUAAUAUGAAUUUUUUAUUAAAAUUUAACUAAAGCUGGCUGGAAAUAAUUUUGAGCUGGGCUCGAAUUUAUUUCAAAUUGAAAACGAGCAGGACUAACCAGCUUGUUUUAAUUUCGAGCCAAACACGGGCGGGCCUAAAUUAUUUUAAAUUAUUUUCGAGCUGAUCUCAAGCUGGCCCAGCGCGAGGUGACUGCUCUAGUACCCAUCUUUUUGUAAGCUUUGUAAUUUUGUGCUUUAUGUUGGAAAUCAUAAUACAAAUUUAAUUAGAGUUUAACUUAAAAUUCUAUCAGAGAGAAAAAUUAUCGAUAAUUUAGAUUAGAUGAAUUUUAUUAGUUUAAAGUGUAUAAUUUAUGAUUUUAUUUUUUCCUUUCUGUCAAUAUCUCUCUUAACUCUCCGUUAAAUCAUAUACCAAAAAACUUUAGAUACCGUACCUAUGCUUUAUUGAAUAUCCACUUUAGUAUCUUGUGGUUUACCAAAUUUUUAUUUUGAUAUCCUGUGGUUUUCACUUUAUUAUUGAUAUAACGGAAAAAUUAAUGAAGCGGAUAAUAGAAGAAAAAAACGAAAUCACAAGAUACUAAAAUAAUAUAUUUUAAACCAUAAGAUAUUAAGGUGAGAAAGUGCAAAACUACAAGGGUAGUACUCAAAGUUUUUCUAUUAUUUUAUAUAUUUAGUCAUCUUGCUCUCCCAUUGUCUUUUUUAAUAUUAUUUUAUUUUAGUAUUUGAUUCUAGAUUAUAAAGUCGGUAUCAAAGCAAAUCAUGUUUCCAACAUUUGGUAUUAGUGCUAGGAAGCGCUAGACGACGACGGAGCUGAGAUCAUAGAGUUAUGAAGAGCUAAUCAGACUCGAACGGCAUCAGAGUUACGCUACGUCAAAGCCAGAUAGCUCGUAACUGAUCGGUGUCGCUCAAGUAAAACUGAAGCAAAAGAAUUGUCUUGAAGGAGUUGGCCUUCAUACAACACCUAAGAGUAGGUGGCUGUGAAACUUGAUGAAAAAAACGUGCUAGAAGAGAUCAUGAAAAAAAUCAAAGAAGAUUUGACCAUGUAGUAAGGGAGGGUAGGCAAGCAAGCCGAAGUACGAAGAACUUGGCGAGAUCUCUCAACAAUAAGAUAAAAACAUCAUCGUAUUAAAAGUUACAUGUUUGAAAUUUAAUUUUUAAAUUCUUUGAGUUCUGUUAUGAAUUUGGAUUGAUUUCUUCAACCUAGCUUAUCAAUGUUCAAUGGAACGAAUUUUAAGCGAUAAAUAAUCACUGUUCAAUAAUUUUUAGAAUUCCAAGAUUUAUGGAAUGUGGUGGAGAAUAGAAAUUAUGAGAAAGAAUUUAGUAACGACAAAAUAGUUCUUUCAUAUAUUUUUUAAGCAAUAGAUCUGUUGUUGAUUGAAAAAAUUUCAGUGAUAAAGACAGUACGAGAAGCAUGAAUAAUGCUAGCAAAAAUUAAAGGAGAAGUUUCUUAUUAAGAAGAUUAAAUUCAGGGAGAAUAAGAAAUUCAACUCAACAAUGAAGAUGUGGAAGCCCAUUCGAACGAUGGAUCCGAGAAGCUCAUACCUGGAAGAUGGCAGAUCACUUCGGGGUGAACAAAACCUUGAAAAAUCUUCAGCGCUAUGUCUAUUAGCCUCACGUGCAAAACGAUGCGGCAAGAUUUGUGAAGGGAUGUGUCUUGUGUUAUGUAUCUAAGCCUGCUAAUCGAAAGAUGGGCCUCUAUACCCCUCUUCCGGUGCCGACUCGUCCUUGGAAAAAUAUCUCCAUGGACUUCUUAGGAGGCCUCCCGAAAAUCCGACGGAGUCACGACUACCUUUACAUAGUGGUCAAUCGAUUCUCUAAUUAAGAUGAUAGUACCGAUGCUGUGCAAGAAGACAAUCACCGGUGAGGAAGCAGCGCGGUUGUUCUUCCAACAUGUUUGGACACAUUUUGGACUACCAACUUUGAUUGUGUCUGACUAUGACAGCCAUUUUUUAAGCAACUUUUGGCGAUCUUUGUGAUCCAUGAUGGAUACAAAGCUACAACAGAGCACGGCCUUCCAUUCUCAAAUCGAUGGUCAAACAGAAGUGGUCAACCGUAUAGUUGUACAUUUGCUGUAAGGAUAUAACGCUCGACAUCUCAAGACUUGGUACGAGAGCCUUCCAUACUUGCAGUUCGUGUUCAAUCGAGCUAUACACAGUUUCACUGGCCAGACUCCUUUUGAGGUGUGCUUGGGUUACUUACCAACAAGCCCAUUCGACUUGGUAUUCAUGGUCGAGCAACCGCAAACCACCAAGAAGAAAAAUGAAAUUGCAAAGGCCGGCAUUGCUUCUUGGAGAGCGUUCAGAAAAUGCAUAGCGAGGUGGAGCAACAACUACAAAAAUCUCAGUAGAAGUAUAAAGAACGACAUGAUCGACAUCGAGCUAAGGCAACUUUCGAGAGGGUGAUCUCGUCUGGCUCCAUCUCAACAAAGAGCGCUUGAAAGGUGAUGGUAGGAAACUUAAACCCAUUCGCUAUAUACCUUUCAAGAUUCUAAGCAAAAUUGGUGAGAAAUCUUAUCAAUUGGAGUUGUUCGCAUACAUGAAAAUAUACACGGUCAUCAAUGUUGAAAACCUAGAAUCCUUCGAGCCAUCAAUGCUGUACGAUGAGCCCGGAGAAAUGCUGCCAACUGUGGAAGAACUUUGGUAGAAUAUGAAGAGCCACUAGCUGAGGAUACUAUUCUGGAACGUAAAAUCACAAUGGCACGCAAAGGUGAACGUGAAUCCUUCCGUGUUAGACAAAAAGGUCAAAACCAAGUGCCGCUAAGUGGUUCACAAGAAAAACUAGGAAAACUCAGUUUACUUACUUAUAGUUCUAGAUCUAGUCAAAAUCAGGGAGCCAUGAUCCGAGAAGAUCAAACAUUCCGGAUAAGUUUCAACCAUUGCAGAUAAGGCAGAGGCCGUUCGAACUACUUCGGUUAGAAUAAGGAUCGAGGUGGUUUUAGUAGAUAUAAGGCGGAGACCGUUCUAACUACUUCGGUUAGGAUGGGGAUCGAGGUGGUUUCAAAAGAUUAAAAUUAGUCAAACAAAUUGGAUAAGAAUAGAUCCAAUUUGGAUAAGGAUAAAGAUAUUAUUUUGUUCUUAUCUUCUUAUAAGCCUGAAGAUUAUAAAUAGGGGUUUCACUUGCUCUUAUAAAGUCACUCCAGUUUAGAAAAAAUUAAUAUACAAACUUUUCCAUAUGAAAAAUAUUGUGUUCUUUUCUUUUUCUCUUUAAUCUGGUUUUAUAUAUCCAUCGGGGAGGAUUUGUGAUAUUGCUUCCUCCUCCGAUAGAUCACGAGAUGAUAUAAUACGAAAAACACAAUAAAUUAUCUUAAAAAAUAGUGAAGUACAUCAGAGAGUUUGCCGAGUUUGGUGUGUCCAUGGAUUGAAAACAUUAGCUGAAAAAUUGUUGAAUCCACAUGAAAACUCUUCAAAUCAGUUAAGAAAAUACCUCCAAUCGCUCUGAUUCUAUCAAAAAGUUGUCGAUUGAAGAGGAAAUCACAAGAUCUCAUCGCAAAUUCGAAAGGUUCCUCCACCGUUUGAGCUCAGGAUAGAUUGCCGAUUUAUUUAGAGAUCGGCGAAGAGGCGGCUGAGAAAGAAAGAGAGAGAAAGGGGAGGGGGAGAGAGAGAAAAAGAAAAGGAGAGAGAGGAGAGAUGUGAUUGGAAUAGUGUAGGAUCUUUGGAAGAUUUGAGAGAGAAUAAAAAAAUUUCGUACAUCAACAAAAAAGGAUAGGUGUAAAAAGCUAGGAGAUAAAAAAAUUAUAUUUUGUGGGGCCCAUAGUUCUGAAAUUAUGAAGAGCCCGAUUAAGAUUUCACUUUUGAAUGAAAUUGUGUAGAUAGUACCUUAAGAGCCUCAAAAUAUAUAUAUAUAUAUAUAUGAACUAAAAGAGAAAAAACUAUAUUUUGUGGGAUCCAUAGUUCCGAAAUUUUAGAGAGUCUGUCUGAGAUUCGCCCUUUAAUAGAAUUGUAUAGAUAGGAGGGCCCCACAAAAAAAAAAAAGGUUUAGGAGAGAAAAAAUUUUGUUUUGUGAAAUCCAUAGUCUCAAAAUUACAGAGAGCCUGGUUGACGGUUCAUAUUUUAAUGGAAUUGCAUAGAUAGUAUCAUGAGGGCUCCACAGUAAAAAAAAAAAAAAUGCUAGAAAAAAAUAAACAAAAACUAUGUUUUGAGGAACCUAUAGUUUCAAAAUUACGGAGGGCCGGUUGAGGGUUCGUCCUUUAAUAGAAUUGUAUAUAUAGAUUGGGUUAAUGGAGUCAUGUAAUUUUAUUUCUCAUCUUUAAAGGAUUUUGGAUGGCCCUUUUAUGAUUCUCCUAACGUGUUGUUGCUGCCAUUGUAUCAAGUCUUAAGAAUUUCCCUGAAAAUUUUGUACAUAGAAAAAAAAAAAUUAAAGAAAACUUUAAAACCUAUCUUUCGCUGUCACCAACUCUUCUGAGGAGUACUCCACCUUCUUUCUUCUAAUUCCAUUUUGUAUUUAUGUACACAAAAUUCGCCUUCCAAUUAUUUUCUGGAUUAUAAAUUUUGAAAUAUGUGACCAUCCAGUUGCCUUCCUCCCCUACAAUAUUAGGAUUAUAGCAAAAAUUAUUUCUUUUUUAUUUUGAGCACUAUCCAACACAAAGUACGAGUUAUCUAAUUAACUACGUGACUAAAACAACCAAUAAAUGGAAAACAUGCAAAAAAGAAAAAACAAAAUCCGCUGGGGUUCUAUUUCAUUAGGUAAUCUACAACAAAACAUGUGAAAAACAUCAUGUAACGUUUCGUAUUAAAUAGAAGCAAAUCAGUUACAUAAGUAAUAAUAAUCAGCAUAAACAUGUAAAAAAAUAUCGUCUAACAUAUUUUGUACUAAACAGAAACAAAAAGCCAAGAUACACACACUAACAAAACAAGAAACACCAAUCUCUCUCCUUUCUGAUCUAUUGGAUUAACUACAUUCGAACUUCGAAAAUUCAACCGUUCCUCGUGUUGCAACCCGCUGCGCUUUAAAGGACCGAAAACUGCAAAGGACCUUUUGAUAUUUUCUUCGUCGCUUCAGCAAAUAUUUUGUUCAGAUGUUCCACGAACACAUUGAUCAGUGUAAAGCUAAACCUUUUCUAGCUUAUCGCUUACAAGAGGGAUCAUCUCUGCCGGGCUCCUAGGAGUGCGAGGAGUACGGGGAGUCCUUGGAGUUCCGGGAACGGAAGAAGAAGAUGAAGACUGCUGCGAUAAGAGGUGCCUUACGUAGCCGUAGAAAGUGCAUCCCACAAGAGUCACCGUGCAUCCAAUAGCAUUCAUACCGGAUAUUGGGUUCCGGAAAAUAAGCCAUGACACCAAUAUUGCUACCGCAACCUACAUAACAUAUUGAAGAAAUUGGUGAGAAUUGUAAAGAAGGUAUUAGGUAAGUCCCUAAAGGUAUCAGCCAGAUUUCAUUUUUGAGAUACCCCAUUGCUUAGAUCGUAACACUUUACCACAGGAGAAUGUUCUUUAGUUGUUCGCAAGGAUUAGAAUCAAAAUAUUGUGGAAAUCCAACACUUUAUUUCUUCAACUUUCUUAUAUAGGGCAGCAAUUCCAUCCCUGAAGAUCGAAACGAUCUAAAUCUUUUUGGUAAAUUGACCGCUAAUCCCUUCCACCAUAAGAUUGAUUGCUUAUUAGGUUACCUGAAACAGGGCUAAAAAUGGUCUUUUGACAGUUAGGGAUGAAAUUGCUGUCACUUUAUCAGGACAGUACCGGAACUGUCCGUACAUUUUACUAUGACAUUGACCAAAUUAAAUCCUUAAUGAGCUACAUGAUUGUCACAUGCUAAAUUUUAUUGUGGCAUUUUUGCAAUUCAAGCGUUGAAAAUGAACUCACUUUGAGGUUGCCCGCGACAUUGAAGGUGACGGCAGUCGUUGAGUGUAUGACAUAAAAGAUGGAGAAGUUGAGACAAAAUGCCAACACCCCUGAGCUGAAAAUGAUGAAUAGUGAUGAAAAAACAGAAUCAUAUGUGUAGAACCAGUUGGUGACUCCGUUUCCUUCCAAUAAUACGGCUGGCACAGCGAGUAUCAUGGUUGCAAAGGGUGCCAUGUAGUAUACUGUGUUAAUACUGGAAAAGAGAGGAAAAAUUAGAUUCGUCUUAGCGAAGAAAGCCAAAAAAGACAGAUUUAACUGGAAUUUAUUAUCUAACCUACUCGGACAAAUUUUUUUGUAAGAAAAGCCACCAAGUUUUAUUAGAUGAAAAUUUUGCAAAUAAAACAAGUCUCUGCUUCUAGUUUUGUUGAUUUACAAGCAAACAUAAUUAGAAUUGUUAAUUUUAUCCUAAGAACAAUAAAUAAAAAUUUUCCAUGUGAAUCCAUUUGACAAACAAGCGACACAGAAAGUACAUAAAAAUCAAACUAAAGUUGGAUACUCCAGAAAAAGCUAUUGCAACAUUUGGACUUAUAUGAUGCAUCAUAUCACGAUUGAAUUAAUUUUGCGUGACAGCAAAAUAGCUCCUUUUCAAGGACUAGAAAAGAAAGAAUGAAAAAUUAUUACUAUUGCUCGAUAAAACAAAAUAGGAAAUUACGAUCAAUGUCCAGAGAAAGUGCGCAUAAAAGUAACAUGCCAACAUCAUCCUCACUGCUAAACAGAGAGAAAGUGAUCAUUUAUCAAAAAUCAAAAGAAAAGAUUUGCUACCUGUCAAAUUUAUAACCAUGAAGAAGUGACUCUGCUAGAAUAGUCUUUGUAGAUGUCGCCAAGCAGCCAAAUAGUGCAGCACAAAAACCAAAGAGAUUGAAGCUGAGCUCUGUUAUAGAGGUUAGAAGAAUUCCCCCAACAAUCGGUACCAAAGAAGCCCAUAUGCGCCACUCGAAAUAUUUUCUCCACACUAACCACUGAAGAACAACUGUUUUUGAAAGUAACAAGUCAGAAUAGACCCUAGACUCAAUGGAAAGAACCAAGCAGGUAGAAGGCUAAAUUGCAGGAAAACCCCUUAUAAUAAUAGUGAUGAUAACUUCACCCCGUGAAAUAUUGAACUCAUAUAUUAGAGCCUUUCAAGCAAUCAAUUUGCUCUUUUGCGAAUAGGGUAAAAUGUAUGAUUCAAUAUUCAUGGGGCAACAUAAAAUGUGCAAAACUAAUAAGGUGGAGUUUCAUACAAUUUAGCCAAAGAAAAAUGCCUGGAAAUGAAGCCAUGAAAACCUGUUGUUGCUGGAGUGAAUGAUUUAAUUGUCUGCAUGAAGGAGACUGGAAUGUAGCGCAAGCUCACGUUUCCCAAAACAAUGUUGAUGCAGAACACAAAAGACAUGGGAAAAAUCCUUCUCCAACGGUCCUCAGGAUCGACCUCAAUUAGUGGCUUCAAUUUGAGCACUUUGAUAACAACAUAAGCUCCAAUAGAAGAGCAUAUGAAGUGAACACAUGACACUGUGAGAGGAAACUUGAAGUCUAGUUUCUGCAUUCAAAGUUUCCUCUAAUGAUCACCGUGAUUACCGUAACAAGAUAUAAUAGUCUAAUGGAAAAUUCUCUUUCUAACUAUCUGAAAAGUUUGGAGAGAUUACGAGGGCAGAUAUUGUAAUUGACAGAGUAGAUACAUUGAAGUUAGUCAAGACUGCUAUAGGAAAAUUGACCAAGUUCAAUGUGGCUUACCAACAAAAAAUUCAGAUUUACUAAUAUCAUUACACAAUAGAAAAGUGUAAACAACUCUGAUCACAAAUCAUAUGGCAUGGAAAGUUUUAUUAAGUACGCUACCAUCACUGUUAUCACAAUUACUUGUUUACAUCAUAUUACUAAUCAUAGGUCUGUUUCUAAUUUCAUUUAUGCUCCUAGGAUUGGUACACUAAGGCUUCUUUUCCCUUUAAGAGUUUCUUCCUCAAUUUAUCACAAAGAUCCUCAUUAUAUGGAAUACAAAUCAAGUAAACGAAGCCAUAAAAUUUGAGAUAGAACAUGCUAAAAUGUUUACCAAACAAAAAGAAACAAUUAGACUUCAAAUUUUAAUGAUGCGAAAUCAUAAAAUUUUCAACUUGCUUUUCAUAAUGAAGCAAUUGAGAAAGAGUUUCAUUUAGAUUUUUUUCAUGACACCAAAAUCAAUAAGAAAUCAAUUGGCAAUAAUAAUUUCCCCGCAAUGUACUCCUAUGAAUUGUAACAAAUGAUUCCACGGGCACUUCCUGAUUCAUUCUUACUCAACAAGUAGAAUUGCACGAUUUGCAUUGAUCGAUAGAAAUGAACAUCAAAGGCAUCAACCAACCCAGUGUUUUGCGAACAAAUUUACUGUCGCCGACAUUAAGUGACUCAAGUUGUGGUGGCUCAAAGACUAUGACAGGUUACGAGUAAUUUUAAAAACAAUAAUUCAAGUUUCAGGUAGAAUUGAUCAGCCUAAUAUCAGAUGCGGGAUAGAACUGUUGUAUGGAUUUAUUAUGUUUUUUUUUCAAAAUUUAACUGCACUAAUUAUUCAGUAGCAAAAUGUUAGAAAUCUACGAAUUAUGACUCAAAUGGGUAGCUCAAAACCCUGCUAUUAACCUUUCGCCUAAGUCCCAGCACACCAAUUAUAAAAAAUAUUAGUAUCAUUUGAAAGAUGAGCCAAAUUUGUUCAAUUAUUGUUCAAAUAAAAAAAAAGCUGAAAAACAAACAUUUUUGUUCUUUUCUUUUUUUUGGCAAAUCCAUUCAUAUUUGAUAGGCUGAAAAAAAAAAAGAAGAAGAAAACCUUUUUUCACCAAAAAAAAAAAAAGAAAAGAAAAAGAACAAAAUACAUUGACCAAUUUCAUAAUCAGAUCAUCAUCAAAAAACAAAAAUUGAACAAUCCAAACCCAGAUAACCUAAUUGGCGAAGUCAAUGAUGCAUCUAGGAAACAGAUCAUCCAAUUUAAGGAAAAAAGGGUAAAAUCAUAACUUUUUUCUUCAAAAAAAAAAAAAAGGAAAAAAAUAAAAGAAUGGACGAAAGGUAUACAUAAAUAAAUUAAUUAAACUAAACCUGGAAGAUCCACUUGUUCAUAAUGAUUACGGUGACGUUAAAUCCCCACCACUGCAAAAUGGCGAGGAUCGCACGGAACGUUCCCUCACUCCCCAUCUUACUCUCCUCCAUCUCCAACCCCCGAAGGGAACAAAAGCCCUAACCCUUACCCUAACUUCGAACCCCCACAAUCAAUUCCCCUCAAGAGCAGCGCGAUCGAAACCGCCGAAGCUCUAGGGUUUCAUAUUUAAAGCUCCCACCAUUUCGAUCCGGACCACAAUGCCCAGAUCUCGCAAUUAACCCCCUCGCAGCUAAAACGCUUCUCCUCUCUCUCUCUCUCCCCCUUUGACUCUAGCGAGAGAGAGAGAAGGAGAUGGAGAGGGGUGGAGGUGUAAUAACAAUAAGAGGUGAGGGGGGGAAGAGGAGGGAGCAGGGAGAGGUCGCAUAAAGAUUCAGAUGGUGCGGACAUCCGCAUGCGAGCAUGUGGGAGAGGGAAGGGGACGGAAUUUGAUUGUUUUAUGCGGAGAAUGGAAGUUACCAAGGAUUAAAGCAAAAAAGAAAACUACUCCAUGCUCCUGCAAUGGUAGUGAUUUUUAUCACGGGGGAUUUUGCUUAUUUACUUCUCUAUUACCGCUCAAAAAAUUUAAAUUUAUUCUAAGUAAUUCUUAUUUAUUACCCCAACCAAAUAAAGUCUAAGUAAAUGCUAAGAAUUUAAAAAUAUUUGAAGAAAAUUUUAAAAUUAAAUAAGAAUAUUUUGGUCAACCAAAAAUAUAUUAGAUAUUUUUAAAAUUUUGUAAGGAUAUAUCUGAUACUAUUCUUUUAUCAUAAAUCAUAGUCAUCAAUUUUAUAUUACUUGAGAAAUUUUUUUUAAAAGCGUCACAGCACGAAAAAAUAGUGUUUAUACUUUUUAGGCCAUCCGUUUCCAAACUAGGCUUUAAAAGGUGAGUAGGGUCCUUUACUUACUUAUAAUGAAGGACAUCGUUGUUGAUCAUAAAUUUUGGCAGACACAAUUAAGACUAUUUAGAUAGAUCUUUGCAGGAAUCGAAUUUUAUAAUUCGACGGCAUAAUUUACAAAGUACUAAUCAAGUGGUCUAAAACUUCAUUUUGUAGUAACCAUUGAAAUUAUUAUUUUUAAAGGUUACUUGAAUGAAUACUAAUCAAUUAAUGCUUCAAAAAUUAAGAAAUACAGUUCGGAAAAGAUUUACAUAAAUAGUUCAGAUCAAGUUUAACAGCGUAGCGUCGAUUGUUAACUUGGCUGCUUCAUUAUAAAAUAUGAGGUAGAAGUAAACGUCUAUAUCUACUUUUAAAAGUAUUAUAAUUAUAAUAUAAUUUUAUUUGUAUGGAAGAUAGGAAAAAAACUACCCUUGUACUUUGAACUUCUAACCAAGUUUUAGUUUGAUUCUUAAACUUUUAAAUUCAAUAUUAGAGACUCUUGACUCUUUUAAAGGUUUUACUAAUUGUUAUAAAUAUUUACACUACAACAAAACUGAGAUAUAGGGACACAUUUCUGGGACACUUUUGUGUAAGUGUCCCAGUUAUGUCUAAAACCUUCUAACAAAAAUCCACCUAAGGCCCGGCCCAAAUAUAAAGCCCAAUCUUACUCCUACUCCCACCCAUCCCAUUGUCAAAAACCUAAUUAAAAGUCCAACCCAAUUACCAAAAAAAAAAAGUAAAAAAANUAAAAAAAGUGUUGCUAUAAUAUUAUUUUGUAUCACUUUUAUGUGCUGCUAAAAGCUUAAAUAAGUGUCGGUAUAUUAGUAGCACUUUUUUUAAGUUAUACCGACACUCUUAAAAAGUGUCACUAUAUACCUAGCGACGCCACAUAUAGCAACACUUUUUAAAAGUGUCGGUAAUUUAGCCAGCAGCACUUUUUCUGACCUGUACCGACACUUAAAAGUGUCGCUAUAUGCCGUUUUUGUUGUAGUGUUACUACUAGAAGAUCAAUAACUACUUAUAUUUAUAUAUAUUAUAUAUAUUUAUUUGCCUUUAAUUAUUCAUGUCAUAUUUCAAUACUAUAACUCAUUGAAUCACAAUUUAUCUAUUUAUGUAAUUGUUGAUGCCAAAAUUAAAAUUAACACGCCAGCCUAACCCACAUAUGAGUUAGAGAAAUAAGGAUAUGUGGUACACCAGGAGUCGGCAAUAGGGCGCUUGAAGGUCAAGAGCGUUUAGGCAGGAACGGUUGAUAAGUGGGGCGUAACUUCCAUGUGAAGUGAGGCGUAACUUCCAUAAGAAGUGGGGCGUAACUGUCAUGAUCAUGGCUACACCACUUCCCCCACUACUAUAACCAACCAAUAAUAUAGGCUGAUAAGAUAUUAUAAAUAGUAACUUUGAAGCCUGUAAUAAGGGUCUUUCUCUCCCCCGAACGAGAAGACAACCGUAUUUUCAAUACUUUCCUUUUCUACAUUUAUCGCUUUCUAGAAGCAGUCUACAUGUAAUUUUUUUUUACCCGCAUUUAUUGCUUUCUUAGGAGUAGUUUUUAAGUUAAAUCUCUGGAGUCUGUAUGCCCCACGAGCACACUUUGUUGUAAUCUAAAUUUUCAAAAUAUGUAUGCCCUUCGGGCACACUCUGUUUUGUAUGAGUUCCUAACUUCAUUUUAAUAUAUAAAGGCAUUCAGCUCUUUCAGCCGACCGGUCACUGUGUAUUCCAUCUAUUCGGCUCAUCAACCGAUCCAAAAUCCUUUAUUUUUCGUACAUUCGGCUCUUCCAGCCGAACCGAGUCUAUAGUAAAGGUCUUCGAAUUCGGCUGAUACGAUCUCUCAUCAGCUCAAUCGCUUGAUCCAGUUGAAGGGCGCAAACUUCGAGGGUCACUAAUCGUAGCCGUUCCGCAUUCCUACACUCUUUCCGAGAGAGAUCUUUGACCGAGUUAAGGAUCAGGGCAUUCGGCUCCCAACAGUAGUAUCCCUGUUGUUUGGUUGCCAGUAAGAUUUUCAGCAUCUGAGACUUGUCGACACAUCUGGAGAGUGUCAGGACAAGUCAGAGUCGUUUUGGGUGAAAUGGACGCAAAACAGACUCAGUGCGACGUGAGAGCAGUGUAUUGACAUUGGAAUCUGCAAAGUGUAGGUUUUCAGUGCUGAGUAUUGGUACCAUGCAAGGGAGAACCGGUACCCCAGUCUAUUUUCAGAACAGUCUGCUCUCGGGUUGUGCCAAUUGAUGCUAAGUACCGAUACGGCAUCGGGCUGGUACCGGUACCUUGUGUGCGAGCUUGCGGGCUGAGAUACGGAGUACCGGUAACCAAAUCGGGUAUCGGUACUCCAGCUGGAUUUUUGAGUAGGUAAAGGGUAUUUUGGGCAGAAAUGUGUCAUUACCCUCAACCUUAUCCCCACCGCUUUAUAUAUGUGUAGAGAGGCAGAGAGUGAGUUUUGGUUCCUGCUUCCUCUCUCUCUCUAGUGUUUGAUCGUGUGCUUGGUGGAGGCUAUGGCUCGAGCUCGGGUCGACUUCGACGUUGCGCCAAGGAGUCGUUCGAGCGCAUAGGCGUCGCGGUUGCACCGUUGGAGGCCGGGCGAGCGCGUGAUUUCCUCGUCUUUCGACUUCUCGCCAUUGUUGGACGAGCUUUUUGAGCUGGGUUGAAGUUUACAGAAAUCGUCGGAUUUCCUCCUAAGCCUAGAUUUUUGUCAGCAUGUAAACUUCCUGUGUUGUAUCAUGUUAGUAGCUCAAUACACCGAUUUGCAUUGCUUUAAUGAAAUCCGAGUUGGAGCUGUGAAUUCUAGAUUCGUUUUAUAUGUUGGAUUUGGAAAUUGACUUAGGAGAAAACUAUUGAACCCUACACUGUCAUUUUCUGAAAAUUACCAAAUUUAGCUUUAGGAGCUGUGGUUAUUUUGUAUCGUCGCUGUCAGUAUGCGAUGGAUACCUAGAUUAGUGUAGGAUGAGUUUACGCUCGUGCUGGGAUGCCAAAUUUAUUUUUACAGUAGAGUAUAGACUGUUUCAGACUGUCGGGUGCCGUCGCGGUUGACGGUGAACCCAGAUUUCUGUUUUGCAUCAGAUUGUGCCAAGGGCACGUGAACUUUGGUUGUUAGACCAGUUAGACUCAUUUACUUUAAUUAUAGCCUAUGAGAGCCUGAUUGAGCUCGACAGAGAUACGCUUGCAUACUCGGUUGGGUAGCGCCCACGAGUGCCACUCCGGAGUCGGGCUUUAUGCGUUUGCGUUGAUGUCGUAGUGUCCUGGUAGGACUUGCUCUCCACCAACAACCCAGCGUGGCGGUGGUUGGUGUAGUUUCGACAGGUAGACGGGUGUGUUCACAGUCCCUAGUGAGAUUGGGUCAGAGAUUGCAGCUUGCUUACAUCUACAGAUAGCUAGUGUUGGUUAACGAUAGUAUAGUGGCAUAUAGCUAUAGAGUUUUACCAGCUUCCUUUACUAUCCUUCUGCAUACUUUCUGUAGACUUAGUGGGUAGGCCGUUGAGGUCGGUGGCGGUACCCACUGAGGACUACUUCUUUUUGCAAUAGUUCUCACACCCAGUUGUUGACCCCUUUUUGCAGAGCCUUCUUCUGCGGCUGCUGCUGUCGCCGAUUCUGAUCGAGAAAAGGGAGUCGCGAGCUAGAUCCCUUCCCUGGUUAUAGUGCUAGAGAAGUACCUCCCAAAGGUACUUUUGGGGUUUUUAUUUACAUAUGGUUGUUGUCUGGGUACUCGCUCGAGCGAGUGGUGUAGUAGACAUUUUGUAUGUACUGAACUCUCGAGAUUUAUAUAUAUAUAUAUGUUUUCAGUUUAACAGCUCAUUACCUUGUGGUUGUAGUUUGAUUUAUUUAUAGGUACAGCUAUCGCUUCGUUUACAGGAAGAAUUUCUAUGUAUACGGCGGGUCUUUUGACGUGCCCAGAGAAACGUGUAAUCCGGAGCGUGACAAUUUAUAAAUCAGAUAUUUGAUGUAAGGGUGCCUUUCACUCCUGCUAUGUUAUUUAGAUUUUUAAAAAUUUUGUAAAUAUAUUUUGCAUAAUUGAGUAAUUUUGUUUAGUAAUUUGGUUAGGAAUCCUUCGUUCGGAAAGAAAUGAGAUAACUCUAAAAAGGAAUAAUUUUAUUAACGAGAGAGAUGGGGUGAAUAUCUCACAUUUUUUUAAAAGGCUUGUUUGAUUCAUAAUAUAUUUUUUGUAAGAUGUUUAGAAAUUCAAAUCGGAAAUUGAGAAUUCUCAUGUUUGGUUUCUGCAUUUAUCCGAUAUAGCGGAUUUUUGUGAUUUUUAUGACAUCUUCUAAUUAUAUAUGCAAAGCAUGAAAAUUCAAAGCCUAUAUACCUCCUCUCGUGAUAUUUCAUUUUUAUCAUGAAAAUUUGGUUUUAACAUACUAAAAUAGCCCUUUCAAAUUUUAAUAUUUAUUAUCCUAUUCACUAUAAAAUAAGGUGUAAGGACUGAGAUUUUAACAGUGCAACUAAACUCUCUGUUGACGAUGUUUAUGUGUGUAAUUUAAUUACAUAAGCACUCGUCAAGUUUUAGGAGAAAAUGAGCUAGAAUGGAGAAGUUACGCGAUUAUCAGUUUUCACUUAAAGUGAAUAGUAACCCGAUUUUUCGGAGAAGCAACGGAGUAGAGUUGGCUUUCGGCGCGUAUCGGACUCCGUUCAUAGCGAUCCAAUAGCUCGUUUUGAUCAGUUCAGCUAUUUUGGAACCAAUGGCACUGACGGAUUUCAGAUCUGAUGCACGGUUUUUGAGAAAUAGGAGUUUUAUCAAAAAUAGGGUUUUCAUUCUUUGCUGUUAUUGCAUAAUAAGACUCCUCGUGCUCUGUGUUUGUGACCUAGAGUAAGGUGAGGGAUGUUACAUGUACCUACUAGUGGUAGGAGAUUCAAAUUUUGAAAUUGAAUCUAGGAUUUAGUGGGAUUACACAUUGGUAUAGUUGUGUGGUUUUUGGAAAUUGGAGAGCGGACGGGUUUCGUCGCGAAUCCGUGACCGAUCGAUGCGAACCAAAUCGUAGGUUUAUUGUCUCCGUUGUGCUGAUCGCACUAGUGCGAUCCGUUCGCAAAUCUGACCGACGGAUCUGCGGAUAUCGCACGUGGUUCGAGGAGGGGUCUUAGAUGGCAAAUUGGUAUUUUUGCGAAAGGUACGACAUUUUAUGUACCGUUUCACGUGAGAUCGCACAUGGGGGUAUAUGCGCGCGUUUUACUCAUGCUGUGGAGGACCCAGUUUGAAAUUCUGAUUUUUGGUGGACUUAUUUGCAAUUCUGCACCAAGUAUUUAUGGUUGCAUUAGGGUUUUCCACUUGAAGCCCUAACCUAGCCCUAGCCGCACCCCCAGCCACCUUCACCCUGCUCCCCUGCCCUAGUCGCGUGCCUUCCGGUCGCCGCUGACCAAGUCCGGCCGGUCGGCCGCCGCCGCAUCACCUUUUUCUCCUCUCUCUCUCUCUCUCUCUCUCUCUUCUCUCGGGUUGAGAGGAGGCCCGAGACUGGGUUGCCUCCAGGCUCUGCCCCAGCGUCGCCCUGACCCCAUCGGAGCUUCCCCCGGUCGGUCGCUGCCGCCUGCCACCGUCGCCUACGCCGCCGCUGCUGGUUCUGCAGCCUGCGGCCACCCCAGCCCGAGCCCGGGCUGAGGCAGGUAUGCGACCUCUUCCCUGCGUCGCCACCACCUUGGGCCACCCCGUGGCACCCCCUCCGACCUCGGGUUGUCGGUCUCCACCUCCCCGAGCCGUCCCGAGCGCCGCCGCCGCGCUGCAGCCGCCUGGCGGGUUCCCUGGGCAAGCUCGGUUCGAGCCGAGCUCGCAAUUCCUUCCCUGCAUCGCCGCCGCUCGGGGCCGCACCCGAGGUACUCCUCCGGCCUCUGGGGACCUGCCGCCGUCGCCCCUGAGCGCCCCGGCCGCCGCCGUGGCCGCAACUGCCCUCGGAACCCGAGCCGGAUCUUGUGCGGGCUUGGUUCUCUCCUCCGCCGCCGCCGCCGCUUCCAGCCGCCACCUGAGGUGAGCACCGUAUUCCUCACCUCUCCCGCACCCAUCCCUGGCCCCCGCGCGCGCUGCCGUGCCACCGGAAGCCGGCCGGAGCAAGCUUGUUCCGGCCAAGCCCGAAAUAGGCUUUUUAGGGAGUGGGUUACCGUUUUGUGUUUUCCAAGGCUUCUCGACCUCUGCGGAAGGGAGCAAGAUGAUCACGACUCAUCGCUGAUCACCGUGCUCACCUUGGUUUCUAUCGGAAAGGCCCCGAUCCACUGUUUCGGUGAUGUUGCGCCGUUUGAGCCUUUUUGGCUACUAUUUUUGGAUUGCGUGCGUUGUUCCGGCGAACCAAGGCUGUCCUGAUGCCUCCGGAGGUGAGCAUGGUGAUUGUUGGUCAGUACCGAUCACAAUGCUCACCUUACAUUGGAUCAACGGAUGUCGUAUAGUCCUGUUUGGCACAGUUUUCCCCGACUACGCGCUGUUUCGCUGAUUUUUGCGUCGCUCGUGCGCGUGGCACAGUGGCCGGCAGUGCUCCGAAAGGUGAGCACGGCCUCCGGCACGCCGAGACCUGUCAGCGGGUGACUCGGCUUGGCGGAUUGACAUCUGGUUUGUGUAGACGGACCAUAAAAGCGCCAAAAUCACAUAAAAUAAUGUGAUUUCGGGUAUUCGGGUGGGUUUUUAUGCAUCUUGGUUCGUCGUAGCUGCUGUUGGCAGCAAGUGUAGGCUGAGGAUAACCUCUGGACUGAUCGUCCAAGGCCCAAGCCUUUGCGAAAAUCGAAAAGUGAUUUUAGGCGCAUUUCUCGGCGAAAUACGCUGACGAAACGCGGGUUCGAAUCGGAAUUCUUCCGACGGUGCUUCGUGAGCUAUUGUGUAGUCGCUGAGCCUUGUUGGCUGGUCACUCGCGUCAUGCGUCAUUUCGAGAGUUCAGAAAUGACGGGUGAGCGACGGUGAGUUCCGGAGUCGAAAUUGACACUUUCGGAACCCCGGAUCGGAACGAAUAUCCGACGAUAAUUAUUUCGACGUUAGGAGUUGUGUUUGCUGCCAUGAUGCACGAUUAUUUAUGUUUAGUGAAAGUGAGUGACUCAUAGCACGAGUCGGUGUGUUACAGGAUAGUUCGUGGGUCCCGACGGAGUCCCGGUGAAAUUUCGGGACUUCCGGCGAGUUACGGUAGUCGGUUUUGGGAAACCGACCUCCGUGGGAUUAUUGGUGGGAAUUGUGAUUUAUUUUUGUUAGUUGUGGGUUAUAUAUUAACCCAGUUGACACUCCGUAGGUCCGGUUGACAUUCUUUCGCAGUCAGGAGACAGGCGCGACAUCCUUGCAGGUGGGUACUUCGAUCCGAAGUCGGUACAGUGGUGCACGCUCGGUGAUAUCCUUCUAUCCCUGUUCUUUUGUUAUUACUAUUGCGUAGUAUAGCUUAUUGAGCCUUGCACCCCUAUUGUUUACAUCAUACUCUACUCGCUGUUUGCAUGAUUAGUAUCCCGAGUAGAAGUAGAGUAGUUAUACCAUGUUUCCUUGUUGCUCUACUUAGCUAUUCUGUAUAUCCUGUUUCAUGUUUAGAGUAGAGCGGUUUCGUGAUUUCUUGUGAGAUUGGUGACCUAGUCGGUCGAUACUUGACUUCUGUCGUUUGAUGACCUUUGCGGUCGGUGUACCCUGAGGGGUAGGAUUGUCGGCUAAUGGCUGACGGUAAUUCUAGAUUAUACACUCAGAUAACUUGUUGAUCGAUUCUUGCAUAUAUACAGUAGUUGACUUAUUGAUCAAUAUUUUCAUGCUUUUGGUAGGAUGUUGAGUUGUUCCAUCCUAGUUGACCUGAGUUGUCGAUUCUUUUACUUCCUUACAGUGGAUGACCUUUUGGUCGGUUAGCCCCGAGGGGCGGUGAUUGUCGGCUGGUUGCCGACGGUUAGCCUUUGAGCAUAUCAGCAUUGAUUGCUCGACUCGUUCGCAUUUCACGAACACCAGCGGUCUGAUCCACCGCGGCUGGGUGUUCUUUUCCGGAAAAGUGGUUGCAGGUGCCAACCCGUGAGCCCAGCGGUCAGGACUGGGUUAUAUGCAGGUAGAGUGGUAGUGGGCUUUUGCCUGAGGUCCUUAGACCAACACGGCGGUUUAGAUUGGGUAUUUUUGCACUUCUUGUCCGGUUGACGCAUAUAGCUAUAGUAGCGGUUGUUGCUUGUAUACCUUCAGUUCUUUCGUUACAUUGUCUUGCUACUAUAGUUUUGUUGCAUGUAUACAUUCAGUUGUUCAUUACAGUAGCGGUAGUUGUACUUUCAUUUAUAUAUGUCUCUUUCGUUCAUUAUUAUUGCUACUGUAUUUCCACUGACCCGUACUGUUGUUUAGCUCUUCCUGAUCCGGUGAGUUGUGAGGAAGUGAAUCUCGAAAUUCGAGGAUUGUACUUCAUCCAGGAUCGACUGAUUGUCGAGAGAAUAUCCCUUUGUGGGAGUUGAGAAUGUCCAAAACACAAAAAGUGCUUUGGAGUUGAGUCCGCGAGAGCUAAUAAUGCAAACGGCACCAUUGGGCUGAAGUUGCUCUCGGGGACCGGUCUCUGCAGGUGAGAGACCGGUUCCCUCGGCUGGGUGUUGCGGGGUCGCAUGAUGCAACCGGUCCCCGGUAGGGAGGGAUCAGUUCCUGAACGUGGUCCUAGCGAGAAUUACCAAAAAAUUGGCUAAGUCCUAAGAACCCAGCUCUCGGGGACCGGUCUCUCAGGCGAAGACCGGUCUCCCGAGGACCGGUCUCCCGAGGAGAGACCGGUUCCCGAACGUGUGCGCCCGAGGGAAGCUCUCGGGGACCGGUCCCAAGUCGGGGAGACCGGUCCUUCCGCGCGAGAACUGCCCAGUAAGGGCAGUGCACAGGAGUGAAAGUUGAGGGGCUUUUAUGCAAAAUGGCUUUUAUUUGAGUGGGCUGAGCCCUCUCUCUCCCUCAUACUCUCAUUCUCUCUCCCUCACUCUCAUUUCUCUCUUGCUCCUUCUCUCUCUCUAGAAAGGAAAGAAGGAGAAGAAGAACAAGAAGGAGAGGAAGGAAAAGAAGAGGAAGAUAAGGAAGGAGAAGAAGAAGGAGAUCAAGAGGAAGGCUUUGAGCACCUCCAUCUCCCUCUCCUCUUCCCAUUGGUGUAGCUCUUGAGGUAAGCUACUAAACCCUAGCUUUGUAAACUUAGGGUUUUGGGUUUUUAUGCUUUGGCAUGGGUCAAAUGGACCUCAAGCAUGCUUCUAAGUAGAUCAAUCCCAUGAACCUAAGAUUCUAUUGGUGGUUUGCUAUAUGUGCAGCCUAGGGCUCAAAAUGGGGGCAUUUUGUAAAGUAUGAGAUUGAUCUCAUUUGAGGCUUUGUAAACCUCAUCGAUAGGUGCCCAAACGCGGGGGCGAAGUCGAUUUCGUGAUUCGUCGAGCGGGCUUGGAGCUAUCGGCGAAUUACGGUCGUUACGGCGUUAUCUUGGACCAAGGGAGGCUAAAGCCUUUUCGUAAAGCUCGCCGAGGAGCGUUUCUAGAACCUCUACAUUGGUAAAAGGUGGGGGGUGCCAUCCGAAGCUUUCGGACUCCUUUCUAUGUCUUAGAAUUGCAUUUAAUCUCAUCUCUUCAUGUUGCAUUGUAGGAUUGCAUAGUAGCUCCUUUCCUUAUGCUUUCUAAAUGACAACCUAGUGUACUUGGAACGCUUGGUAACUUGGAUAGGUGAGGAUUGGGUCGGAACGUGGAUCCUAUGAUGCGAAGGAUAGAGAUGAAUCCGAUGGGGGUGUUGAUGACAUAGAAAAUAUUGUUAAUGUUAAAGAACAAACGAGUGGCAUCCAAACAUUGAAUGAUGACGAGUGGCAUUAAGUAAUGUAUAUGACACUAGAGGUUUGAGAACAUAGGGAUAGAUGGAUCCCUUAGAAAAUGCCUUGUGAACAAUGAAUUUAGACAAGCUAAAUAGCAUCGCAUGAAUGCUGGGAAUAAAUGAACCCGCGAGAGAUGUUGACUCUAGUUAGAGCAUCCUCACUUGGAGAGGAUUUGAUUGGGUUGUUGACCCUAGUGGUAGUGUAUCCUCACUUGGAAAGGAUAGAUCUAGCUCACAGUCUGCGUUUGGGAUGGUAUAGCCAUCCGAUCCCCACAUGGAGGGGAUUGUCGUCGAGUACUCCGGAGUGUCGCGUGACUAGGACCACUUGGAGGUCCGGACCACAUGGAGGUCCGCAGACGGUCCCGGGCUUGGGUGCACUUGGAGUUCCCUCCCCACUUUGGGAUUGUAAGGUGAGUCAUUGGCGAGCCCUAGGGCCUCGCCACAGAUUGGGUAAAUGGAAAAGUUAAAGGUUAAAUAAUGUCAUUGAACAUUGCUAAUCGAACAUGGAUCGAACUUGUUAGCAUGGUAGCAAACCUUAUUUAUAUGAUGCAUGCAUUCAUAUUUAUGAUUAUGGGCAUAAUAGCAUAGUGUUUCCUAUUAUUGCAUUUACAGCUUUCAGAUACAUAUCUAUCUAUCCGUUGUUACUUGUGCCCACUUGGACCUAGUGGGGAGAUCGGCAGAGUCGGCGGCCGAGCCCACUGGGAACUAUGGAAGAUAGUUCUCACCCCACUCUAUUUCCAGUGGUAGGUACAGGGUUACCGAGAGAGGACCGCGGCAAGGGCAUCGCGCCCGAUCAGUGAGACCGUGGUAGUAUAGUAGCUUUCCUUUUGCAUUAGCACACCUAUGUAUUGAGAGAGAUUCAUGUAGGUGAGAUUGGAGAGCUAUGUAUUUUGAGGAUCAAAUGUAUUCAUUUUGGAAAUGAUGUAAAUGUAAAAAUGCAACUAUUGUAAUAGUUAGUAAAGUACUCCCUUUAUUUCACUCGUAUAUCUUGUGGAUUACUUACUCUUCUUGUUGUUGGCACUGUUUGUGCCCUCGUUGAAUGUGUAUGUUUAGAAUUUAAAGUCCUGGGUAAAUUCUUGUACACAUUCCUGUUGUUGAGCCUUGGGCGGACAGGAGAGGUGCUGUCCGUUCGGCGGCCCGUCGCCGCGGUCGAACCGUGCCAAAUUGGUAGUGGUUUCGGGGCGGGGCGUGACAGUCCUUUGUGGUAUCAGAGCAACAAGAGCAAGUAAAGAGGGAAAGUCUAGGAUGAUCUAGGAGACCCUAGGUUGAUAAGUCCUAAGGUUAUAGGUGCGUGAGCGGAAUGUGAACCUAUAGCGAUGGCGGAAGUUAAUUCGAUUGGGUCGAAGUUGGUAAUGUGUCUCUAGUGGUGAUUAGAGACGGACUCAAGUUGUAUGAGUUCUUGUCUCGAGGUGGUUGUGUUGGCGGCCGACGACAUGAUACCAAGAGCCUAGAACGAGUGCACUUGUGUGCUUCCGCCCGAUUUCAUUGUUGAGUCGUCAUGUGACGUAAUUGCGAAGAGGCAAUUGGUUAAGAUAACUGACCAAGCUGCGUUGCAGGGACUAAUGUCUCCAAGAUGCUACACGCGUAGAUCUGCCCCAGCGCCGAUUCCGGAGGUGCCCGAGCAGGAGCAACCGAGCGUGAUCGACCGGUUGCAAGCGCAAGUAACCGCGCUGACCAAUGUGGUGGAGCGCCAAGAGACCCGAUUCGAGCGGCUCCAGGAUCUAUUGGAGCGGCAGAUGGCGGUUGCGGCUGCGACGGCGAAUGAGGGCGGUGUGAAAGUUUUGGGGUGCCUAAGGAUCUAUCUAGAUUGUAUCUAUCACCUAGAGGGGGGUGAAUAGGUGUAACGGCCAAAAACCACAAAUCUCGAUGCAAUAAAAAUAAAUGCGGAAAAUAAAAAGCACAUCGAGAUUUACGUGGGAAAACUCCAACUUGGAGAAAAAUCCACGGGACCAACACGCGUAAAAAUAAUUCACUAAGAGAAAAGAUUACAAGGUGAUUACCGACUCCACGGACUCAACCUCUCUUAACCUCCUAUGAAUCUUCGCGCUACCCUCCGGGUUGUCCACGCCCUCACGUCCGAAUCCACGAACGCCUCCACUUCGAAUCCACGAAGCUUCAAUCACGCCGAAUCCACGACGCCACUCGAAUCCACGAGCCCACGAUCCGAAUCCACGAACCGCCGUCAAAUACGCCGAAUCCACGACGCCACCAUGAAGAAUAUCAUGAAUAUGGUGAUCCUUCGCUUUGGAGUAUCGUAGAAAACCAGGGAAUAGAACUCCAAGCGAAGCGGAGAUCAAAUCGACAUAUUAAUAUCAAAUUUCAAUAUAUCGAUUUGAUCUAAAAUAGGCUUUUUGUAGAAAAUAGGUUUUAGAUGAAAUCCGAGCCUCUAGGGUUUCUCAAAUAUGUAUUUUCGUGAUGCUUAUGAUCCUCAAUCAGUUAGAGAACCCCAAUAGCUUAUUUAUAGACUUUAGAAUCAAAACGGAGUAGGAUUAGAAAGUUUCUUUCCAAAAUCAGCACCUUGUACCGGAACAAGGAAAGCUGCCAGGGUACAGCAUGACGGAAGAAUUUUCUGCGAAGCUUCUGUGUCCGUGGAGUCGGUAAUCACCUUGUAAUCUUUUCUCUUAGUGAAUUAUUUUUUCGCGUGUUGGUCCCGUGGGUUUUUCUCCAAAUUGGAGUUUUUCCAUGUAAAUCUCGGUGUGCUUUUUAUUUUUCGCAUUUAUUUUUAUUGCAUCGAGAUUUGUGGUUUUUGGCCGUUACACCUAUUCACCCACCCCUAGGUGAUAGAUACAAUCUAGAUACAUCCUUGGGCACCCCAAAACUUUCAGUAGUGUCCACAUGCAUUCCUAAGAUCUCUCCAAUAUCAUAGGGGGUAACAGGAAAUCUCUUCUGUCGAACAAUAGUCUCAAAAAUAAAAGUGCCCGUUUCAUCAUCUUCAACAAGUACCUUUCCAUUCAUAUAGAACUCCCGAAUAAGUUCUACACAGAAAGGAGCCUUGGCAGGGACCCGUCCAACAGGCUCAAUAGGUGCACGCUGUAGCAGUCGUCCAAAAUCAGGAACAUCCCGAAUCAGAUCAUUGAAGUUCACAAAGCGUUCAGCUAUGCACGACUUUGAUGCAAACAACCUUCGCCGUGCUGGAGGGAUAUCCGCAGCUUGUUUUGUACGUCCCUCACGAGUACGAGAACCACCACCAUGAGAUGAUUCGCCAGCUAUUCCUUUGCCUUUGUCAAGUCGAGCAAUAGGUUCUUCAGAUUCUUCCAGGGAGCUCGCCUGAUAAUACGGAUCAGACCCGGACGCUUCUUCAGUUGUUCGUGUCCUUUUAGAAGCCCCAUGACGACCUCUACCACCACCACGGCUCCGUCUCCCAGCCAUUAGCACCAAAAGCACCAGUACGAGCAAAAACGCCAUUUUCCUAUAUCAAAAGUUGCAUACAUGAACAAAAUUUUUGAAAAAUCUGUAAAAAUAGCGAAAAAAUUUCUAAAUACAUUAGAAUGCAUACAAAUGCUAUUUCUAGCCAGAUCAUGUAAAAAAUUUCAGCAAAAAUCGAACUUUUUGAAAAAUCCCGAAAUUACAUGCAUAUUAGAGCAUAAAUCUUAGAUCAGCGAAAAAUAACUUGUUUUGAUGUUGUUCAAGUGUUCUACAAGCAAGGUAAUAUCCUAAAACACGGAUCUAUAGCAAAAAAUUGCAUCAAAAACGGAUUAGAACAGAGAUCAAACCCUAAUCCCGCAAAAGCAGUGAAAACAGCAAAAUCGGGAUAAAAUUCACAAAUUUGAUGCUAAAAACUUACAAAUCCACGGAAAAAAUGUGUAGAACGAAUGAAGGAGAGUCUCUGGAGCUCACAGGACCAAAAAUUUUGAAAAACGAUUGAGUUUUGAGAGAGAUCGAAGCGUUAUACCCGGUUAUAUUCCGCUCGGCCGCAGACCUUGUACCGGUACACGGGUUCUUGUUCCGGUAUAAGGAUCAAAAUGUGAAAAAAAAAUUUCAAAAAAUAUACUUUAAAAAUCCAUCACAUUUAAUUUAAAUUCAUAUAGUUAAGGCUUUUACUCCAAAAAUUAUUAUAAUGAAAAUAAGAUAUUAUAAAAUUUCAAAAUACAUCAAAACAUCAAAAAUUCAUUAUCAAAAGUGAUUUAAUAAUUCAAAACCAUCAAGAUGUAAGUUGAUGAAAAAUGAUUUUUAGAAAUUCAAUAAAAUUGACACCAAUUUAUUGCAAUAUGUUCAAAAUAGAGAUUUAACUAAUAUGGCACCGGGGGUGGCUCUUUGAGCAUCUUUUCAACUUACCACCUUAUAACUCCAAAAAUUUUAAAAAUAUUCAUUUUUUUCAACCUUUUCGGCUUUUCAAUUAAUCUCCAUGUGGUAGCUUCACACACUUGCCGGACGACCGAGGUGGUAGCUCUUUCCUACAUGUGGUGGUAGUUUUCACACUCCUUUUAGGAUGUAACUCUUUCCACAUCUUUUAAACAUAGAAGAAUUUUUUUUUUAUUUUCAAACUCCCCCUAAAUUAGACAAUCUCACAAUUGAAAAUAAUUUUGACGAAUUUAGUCAAUUAGAGAAUAUCCAUUCAUCAUAUCCAACACUCACAACCAAGAUGAAUUAAUCACCAAAAAAUCAAAUUUGAUUUCAAAAUUUUGAUGAAUUUAUGCAUUAAGAAAUCAUAUAUUAAUUUAUCGUCAAAAUAAUAAAAAGUGGAGUAAAACCGAUAAUUAAUAUGAAUUUAACUUAAUAUGAUUGUGAAGUUAAACACCGUUUAAAAAAUUUCUCUCUCUCCAAAAUCAUGGAUCUCAAUCAUCUUCUUUCUCAAAGAUUUUGAAUUCCUAAACACCUUUCCUCAAAAUGAUUUAUAAAUAAACAAAAAUUCAAUGCACCAAAAAUCAUUCAAAUAUGUAAUGCAAUGAAUAAAAUUAUGCAAUAAGCACCAAUCAAAGCAUUACACUAAAGAUCAAAAGUGACUAAGACGAGGAGCAAGGAAAGAUAUCACCUUUCCGGAUCCAAACUUGUCGGAUCUUUGGUUUUCUCGGCUUGUCGACGUUAGGUGCCGUUUGUUUAGACUUUUGAUCAACCGUUGGUGGUUUCUUCGGUUGAGGCUUUGGUUGAAUUUGUCGUUGAGGUUUAUGCACCCUGUUUGCAUGAACUUGGCGUUUUGUAUUAAAAAUCCAGUUCUUUUGAGGUACUCGACUAACUUGAUUUCUCUUUUGAUUCCGCGGGGUAAGUCGAGUUGUAGAUGAUGCCGAUUGAGCUUUCGAAGUUGCCGAAUUAUUCUUCUUAUCUUUCACCGGGCAAUUCCUUUUGAUGUGACCUUUAACUCCACAUCGAUGACACACUUUGCCUUUUAAAGUUGUUGAGACUUUAAACGUUGCCGUUUAAUCCUUCUCAACAUAUGUUCUUUCGUAUCCGAGGCCCAAUUUGCUUGUUUGACCCAAUCCGAGAAUUUUGUCCAAUUUCUUAGAUCCCGAAGAAAAUUGUUGAAGAUCGGAUUGGAGUUGACGAACUUGAUUGGUCAGUGACUUGUUGGAUGUGUGUGAUUCCUCGAACUGUUGCUCCAAAAACCCAACUUUGUCUCUAUAUGAUUUGAUCAUUGAUUCCGCUUCAUUAAGCUUCUCGUGGGGGUCCGAAAUAUUCUUCACGCUUGAAUCCCUUUCCUCCUCAAGAGCCUUAUUCAAAAUCUUUACGUUGUUGUUUUCCUCCUCAAGUUCCAACAAACGACGUCUCAACUUCUUGUUGAGUUUAGCCAUCUUCUUUGAUUCAAUGAGAAGUUGAUUGUACGCUUCCGCUACGUCGUCGUCGUUUGAAUUCUCCUCGCUUUCGCCGUUGUCGUUCGAUGAGUCAUGCGAGGAAACAGAAACAUUAGAGUUAGUAGCACUAGAGGAUAAACACACAAAGUUCGAUGGAGUAUUAGCAAAUAAGGCAAUUUGAUCAUUCUUUUCUUCGUCACUUGACGAUGAUUCACUAGAAGAAUCAUCCCAAGUCUUUGCUUGCAUAGCCUUCGAUUUAUAAACUUUCUUUGAAGGACAAUCCGUCGCGAUGUGGCCGUAGCCUUUGCACUUGAAGCAUUGGAUCUCGCUUUCAAAGACAUCCUUUUCUUUUGAAGCCUUUGCACGCUUUUUCUCCUUAGAUGUAGAUUUAGGAAACGUUUGUUGCUUCGAAGAUGAAGGUUUAUUCGAUUUGCUCUUUCGAAAAUUCCGGCAAAACUUUUUCAUGAGAAGCGCAAGUUGAUGUUCAAAGUCGGCAAGAGAAACAUCUCCGUCGGAAUCCGAGUCUCCGUCUUCCUCUUUUGUUGAUUUCAACGCAACCCCUGUGCUUUUAGAAAAAGACUUGGAAGACGAUUGAUUAGUAGGAAAAGUUAUCUCAUACGUUUGUAAAGCACCUACUAAUUCCUCGACUUUCAUCUCGUCCGGAUGUUUGACCGUUUCGAUCACGGCUACUUUAGCCCGAAAGCGUUCCGAAAGAGUUCGAAGAAUUUUACGAACAACUUUAGAAUCUGGGAUUUUCUCUUCCAAAUUAGCACAUGUAUUAAUGAUAUCUUGAAGCCUAGUGUAGUAAUCGGUAAAAGGUUCAUGCUCUUCCAUACGAAUAGAAUCAAAUUGACUAGUCAACAUUUGGUGCUUCUGAAUUUUUACUAAACUAGUACCCUCAUGUGUAAUUUGUAGAGUAUCCCAAAUUUCCUUGGCCGUUUCGCAUGCCGAAACCCGAGUAAACUCCGUUUGCGAUAAAGCGUUGAAUAAAGCAUUAAUUCCUUUACCGUUAAACGAAGACGACUCGUUUUCAUCUUUUGUCCACUUGUUGCGUGGUUUAGGCGUUUCGACAUUCUCGACCUUUUCAAUAGGAUGUUUCCAUCCAAAUUCUAUUGAUUGCAAAACACGCUCAUCGAUUGCAAUUAGAAAAGCUCUCAUGCGAACUUUCCAAUAGGCAUAAUUAAGUGCCUCGAGAGCGAGAGGUCGAUUAAUGUUUCUUUUGUUGCCUUCGCAUUAGAUAAAAUUAUCUAGAUCACCGCUUCUGAUGCAAUUGAAAGUUUUGGGGUGCCCAGGAUUAUCUAGAUUUGUUCUAUCACCUUAGAGGGGGCAGGUGAAUAGGUGUAACGGCAAAAAUCAAAAUUCAUUGCAAUAAAAUAAAUGCGGAAAAUAAAAGCACACCGAGAUUUACGUGGGAAACUCUAACUUGGAGAAAAAACCUACGGGAUCCAACCGCGAAAAAAUAAUUCACUAAGAGAAAAGAUUACAAUGAAUUACGCACUCCACGGACUUAACCUGGUUCUUUAUUUUUUUCUUAACUCAUGAAUCUUCGCGGUUACCUCCGGAGUAUCGUCCACGCCUUCUCGAAUCCACGAACGCUCCACUUCGAAUACCACGAGCUUCAAUCACGCCAAAUCCCACGCACGCCACUCGAAUUCACAGAGCCCACGAUUCCGAAUCCACGCAACCGCCAUCAAUACGCGACAUCACGACGGCACCCAUAUGAAGAAUAUCAUGAAUAUUGUGAUGCUUCGCUUUGGAGUAUCGUAGAAACCACGGGAAUAGAACUCCAAGCGAAGUCGGGAUCAAAUCGACAUAUUAAUAUCAAAAUUUCAAAUAUAUCGAUUUUGAUCUAAAAUAGGCUUUUUGUAGAAAAUGGUCUUUAGAUGAAUCCGAGCCUCUAGGGUUUCUCAAAUAUGUAGUUUUCGUGACUGCUUAUGAUCGUUCAAUCAGUUAGAGAACCCAAUGCUUUUAUACUAGAUUAGAAUCAAAACGGCCAGUAGGAUGAGAAAGUUUCUGUUCAAAAUCAGCACCUCUUGUACCCGGAACAAGAAAAGCUGUCCACGGAUGACAGCAUGACGUAGAAUUUAUCUGCGCAAGCUUCUUAUACCCUGGAUGAGCUGCGAGCUUGUUUGGAACAGGCUAUGUACCGGUACAGGCAUGAUGUUGACCGGAAACAUCAAAUAUUUCUGCGCAACGCUGAUGGCUGUCCCUGGAAGAACCUUGUACCAGUUACACUAAUGCAAUUUUGGCUGGAAAAUGCAUUAUUUAGUUUUACAAUCUAGAAACUUUCUGAUCAAUUACAACUGAAACAUGAUUUCAAACUCUAUAAUUAAGUAGUGAUCACCAUAAACAAGAUUUUAAAGCUUACCCAUAGCAUGUGAUUCAUGUUUUGCCGUCCUUUUGAUUCUUCGAAGUCUUGGAUUCUUCGAAUCUUCAAUAUCCGCUCCGGACUUCAUUCAAGACUCCGACUCGACCCACGAAACUUGCCAACACAUAGGACUUAACACGGUGGUCCGCCCGCACCCUCGACUCCUAUACCUGGAGCGGCAAAGGGUGAGGGCAUAGCGGCGGUUCCGGUGACGGCACGCCCACCGCCAGCGACCGUACCACAGGCGGCAUCGGGAUCAACUACACCCGAUGUGUCGGCCGAGGACGUGGAGGGAGAGCGGGCGUUAGCAGCUCUCAUUAAAUUCAACAAGUUCCAUCCGCCAACCUUCGAGGGCGAGAAGGUGGAACCGGAGAUGGUCGAGUCUUGGAUUGACUUGAUGGAAACCCUCUUCGACGAUCUGCGUACCCUGGAGAGGGAUAAGGUGUACCUCGCCACCCAUUGCUUGGAGAAGGCGGUGAAGGUUUGGUGGAAGCGCGUCAAACGGGAUCGGCUUCCCGGCCUUCCGCCAAUGUUGUGGGAGGAAUUCAAGCGGGAGAUGUUCGCCAACUAUUUCCCCGAUACACUGAAGCGGAAGCUCAAUGAGAAGUUCCGCAAGCUAGAGCAAGGGGACCGCUCCGUGGCGGAGUACGAACAGGAGUUCUCCCACAUCAUAGAUUGCGUCCCGGAUGUUGUCAAGGAUGACCGGGACCGGGCCGAGUGGUUCUUGCGAGGACUUCGGCCGGGAAUCUACAAGGCCGUGCAAAUACUUAAGCUCACGACCUUUGCUGAGGUCUUUGAUCGAGCCCUAUGGGCAGAGCACGGAGAUGCCCACGUGCGGGAGAAGCGUGAGCUUUUGGCGGAGUCCAAGGACAAGGGCAAGAAGCGCCAAGGCGGCGGUAGUAUGGGUGGUCAAACGCGUUAUAAGAAACCCCCGAAGUACCCGCGCACUCAACAGAAGGGCGGUGGAGCGCGGCGAUGUAUUGUAUGCGGCGGAGACCACCCAGUCUCGCGCUGUGAGCAGGGUCGAGGCAAGUGCUACAAAUGUGGGCAGCCGGGACACUUCAUUCGGGAUUGCCCGGGAGGAGGAGCCUCACCAGCCCCAUCGAUUGCAUCGGCACCGGCGGUUCCGGCAUAUUAUGGAGGAGCUCCACCGACGGCCGCGUCGACUGGACGCGCGAUGACGCCGCGUCAACCUGAGAUGGCGCGAUCGGCCCCGAGCGGACGGGUAUUUGCCGCUCAGGUCCAAGCUGAGGAGCCUGCGGAGGCAGAGGAGCAUCGCCUUGUGGCAGGUAUGGUUUUAAUUAACGGAGUUCGCUCCAGGGCUUUAUUUGAUACAGGAGCCACGCAUUCAUUCAUAAGUAGAUCAUUCGCACGCAUGCAUGAUAUUCUCAUAGAAGCAAGUGACAAGUGGCGAGUGGAGGGCCCUGGGUCGACAUUCAAUACCUACACGGAGUGCACCUCGUGUCCGGUACAAAUAGGCGAUUGGAUAAUGCCUAUUCGGGCGCUAGGACUCCAGAAACUUGAGGCGUACGAUGUCAUAUUGGGCAUGGACUGGCUUUCGAAAUACCACGCCACGAUUGACUGUAAGAGCAGGGUGAUCACAUUCCGUGAGCCAGGACAGGAAGAGUUCACCUAUCGAGCUUGCCAGAGCUCGUGUUUCGUCGCGACGGUGUCGGCGACGAGAGCAAGGAAGUUGGUUAACAGCGGUUGCACGGCAUUCUUAGCGACUGUUGUGGAAACAGAACGAAUAGCUCCAACACUAGAGGAGUUAUCGGUGGUGCGGGAGUUCCCGGAUGUAUUUCCUGCGAAGUUGCCGGGAAUACCACCGGAUCGGGAGAUCGAGUUCGUCAUAGACUUGGUUCCCGGUACCGCGCCGAUCUCGAAGGCUCCGUACCGAAUGGCGCCGGCGGAACUAAAGGAGUUGAGGAGUCAACUACAAGAUCUCCUCGACAAGCAAUUUAUCCGGCCGAGUGUAUCACCGUAGGGAGCCCCGGUGUUGUUUGUGCGGAAGAAAGACGGAUCGCUCCGACUCUGCGUGGACUAUCGAGAAUUGAACAUAGUCACGAUCAAGAACAAGUACCCGCUACCCCGAAUCGAUGACCUGUUUGAUCAGUUGCAAGGGUCGUGUGUGUACUUGAAGAUAGACUUGCAAUCCGGCUAUCAUCAGCUAAAGAUCAAGCCGGAGGAUGUGCAAAAGACUACGUUUCGCACGCGGUAUGGACAUUACGAAUUCACGGUCAUGCCAUUUGGACCCACGAAUGCUCCAGCGGCAUUUAUGGAUUUAAUGAACCGUGUCUUCAAGAAGUAUUUGGACCGGUUUGUCGUGGUCUUUAUAACGACAUAUUGGUCUAUUCUCGUAGUGACGAGGAACAUGCCGAGCAUUUGAGAAUAGUGCUUCAAGUCCUUCGGGAGGAGAAGCUAUAUGCUAAGCUGAAGAAGUGUGACUUCUGGCUUCGCGAGGUUGCCUUCUUAGGGCAUGUGAUUUCCGCGGGUGGAGUUUCUGUAGACCCGAGGAAAGUUGAGGCAAUCAAGGAUUGGCCGCGCCCGACGAAUGUCACGGAGGUUCGAAGCUUCGUGGGCUUGGCGUGCUAUUAUAGGCGGUUUGUGGAAGGCUUUUCCAAGAUAGUGAUUCCAUUUACCCACCUGAUCCAGAAGGGCACCAAGUUUGUUUGGAGCGAGGAGUGCGACCGAAGUUUCAAAGAGUUGAAGCAAAGAUUGACUUUGACUCCGGUACUCGCUCUACCGGUGCAGGGUGAAGACUUCGUGGUCUACAGUGAUGCCUUCUAUCUUGGAUUGGGUGUGUAUUGAUGCAAAACGGAAAAGUGAUCGCUUAUGCAUCCCGUCAGCUGAAGAGCUAUGAAAAGAACUACCCCAGCCAUGAUUUGGAGCUAGCGGCGGUGAUUUUCACCUUAAAGUUGUGGAGGCACUACUUAUAUGGUGCCCAUUGUGAGAUCUAUACCGACCACAAGAGCUUGAAGUACCUGUUUACACAGAAGGAGCUCAAUAUGCGUCAGCGGCGGUGGUUGGAGUUGUUAAAGGAUUAUGAUGUUGAUAUCCUCUACCACCCCGGGAAGGCAAAUGUGGUCGCGGAUGCGCUGAGUAGGAAGUCGGCGAAGAAUCUCGCUUUUGAUGUUAUCCAGCAAACACCCCUAUGGCGGGAUAUGAAACGACUGGAUCUCGAAGUGGUUCCUCCCGAGAUUCCAACCCAGUUGAUGGCACUCGUUGUCCAACCGACCUUGUUGGAGAGGAUCAAAGAUCUGUAACCUGCGGACCUAGAACUCCAGAAAGUGCGGCGAAACAUCGAGGAUGGUCGAGGCGGCGAUUUCAGUAUAAACGCCGAUGGUGCACUUCGGUUUAGAAACCGAUGGUGCAUGCUGAAAGAUGGAGAGCUUCGCGAAUUGAUUCUACAAGAAGCACACAGAUCUCCGUAUGCUGAUCUGUUUUUGGAUUGCGUGCCUUUUUGGCUACUGUUUUUGGAUUGCGUGCGUUGUUCCGGCGAAUCGAGGCUGUCCUGAUGCCUCCGGAGGUAAGCAUGGUGAUUGUUGGUCAGUACCGAUCACAAUGCUCACCUUGCUUUGGAUCAACGGAUGUCAUAUAGUCCUGUUUGGCACAGUUUUUCCCGACUACGCGCUAUUUCGCUGAUUUUUGCGUCGCUCGUGCGCGUGGCACAGUGGCCGGCAGUGCUCCGAAAGGUGAGCACGGCCUCCAGGACACCGAGACCUGUCAGCGGGUGCCUCGGCUUGGCGGAUUGACAUCUGGUUUGUGUAGACGGACCAUAAAAGCGCCGAAAUCACAUAAAAUAAUAUGAUUUCGGGUAUUCGGGUGGGCUUUUAUGCAUCUUGGUUCGUCGUAGCUGCUGUUGUAGCAAGUGUAGGCUGAGGAUAACCUCUGGACUGAUCGUCCAAGGCCCAAGCCUUUGCGAAAAUCGAAAAGUGAUUUUCGGCGCGUUUCUCGGCGAAAUACGCCGACGGAACGCGGGUUCGAAUCGGAAUUCUUCCGACGGUGCUUCGUGAGCUAUUGUGUAGUCGCUGAGCCUUCUUGGCUGGUCUCUCAUGUCAUUUCAAGAGUUCAGAAAUGACGGGUGAGCGACGGUGAGUUCCGGAGUCGAAAUUGACACUUUCGGAACCCCGGAUAGGAAUGAUUAUCCGACGAUAAUUGUUUCGACGUUAGGAGUUGUGUUUGCUGCCAUGAUGCACGAUUAUUUAUGUUUUGUGGCAGCGAGUGAGUCAUAGCACGAGUCGAUGUGUUACGGGAUAGUUCGUGGGUCCCGACGGAGUCCCGGUGCGAUUUCGGGACUUCCGGCGAGUUACGGUAGUCGGUUUUGGGAAACCGACCUCUGUGGGAUUAUUGGUGGGAAUUGUGAUUUAUUUUUGUUAGUUGUGGGUUAUAUAUUAACCCGGUUGACACUCCGUAGGUCCGGUUGACAUUCUUUCGCAGUCAGGAGACAGGCGCGACAUCCUUGCAGGUGGGUAUUUCGAUCCGAAGUCGGUACAGUGGUGCACGCUCGGUGAUAUCCUUCUAUCCCUGUUCUCCUGUUAUUACUAUUGUGUAGUAUAGCUUAUUGAGCCUUGCACCCCUAUUGUUUACAUCUUACUCUACUCGUUGUUUGUAUGAUUAGUAUCCUGAGUAGAAGUAGAGUAGUUAUACCAUGUUUCCUUGUUGCUCUACUUAGCUAUUCUGCAUAUCCUGUUUCAUAUUUAGAGUGGAGCGGUUUCGUGAUUUCUUGUGAGAUUGGUGACCUAGUCGGUCGAUACUUGACUUCUGUCGUUUGAUGACCUUUGCGGUCGGUGUACCCUGAGGGGUAGGAUUGCCGGCUAAUGGCUGACGGUAAUUCUAGAUUAUACACUCAGAUGACUUGUUGAUCGAUUCUUGCAUAUAUACAGUAGUUGACUUAUUGAUAAGUAUUUACAUACUUUUGGCAGGAUGUUGAGUUGUUCCAUCCUAGUUGAUCUGAGUUGUCGGUUCUUGUACUUCCUUACAGUGGAUGACCUUUUGGUCGGUUAGUCCCGAGGGGCGGUGAUUGUCGGCUGGUUGCCGACGGUUAGCCUUUGAGCAUAUCAGCAUUGAUUGCCCGACUCGUUCGUAUUUCACGAACACCAGCUGUCUGAUCCACCGCGGCUGGGUGUUCUUUUCCGGAAAAGUGGUUGCAGGUGCCAACCCGUGAGCCCAGCGGUCAGGACUGGGUUAUAUGCAGGUAGAGUGGUAGUGGGCUUUUGCCUGAGGUCCUUAGACCGACACGGCGGUUUAGAUUGGGUAUUUUUUGACUUCUUGUCCGGUUGACGCAUAUAGCUAUAGUAGCGGUUGUUGCUUGUAUACCUUCAGUUCUUUCGUUACAUUGUCUUGCUACUAUAGUUUUGUUGUAUGUAUACAUUCAGUUGUUCAUUACAGUAGCGGUAGUUGUACUUUCAUUUAUAUAUGUCUCUUUCGUUCAUUAUUAUUGCUACUGUAUUUUCAUUGACCCGUACUGUUGUUUAGCUCUUCCUGAUUCGGUGAGUACUCCUCGCCUUCUUCGGCUUGCGGUACCCACUGGGAGGGGAGACAUGUUUACAUGUUCUCACCUCGCCAACUAUUUUUCAGGUAUCGCGGGCAGUGAGGGAUGAGACGAGACGUGAGAUACGUACGUAGCGGUCGAUAGAACUUCCGACCCAGGUUAUUCGGUUUAGUUUCUACCCUUACUAUUCUGUUGAUAUAGUUUAGAUAGUUUAUAUGGUUCAGUAUUUUUAUUAUAUUUGAAAAUGUGGGUUUUCAUGAAUGUAAUAAAUGGAUUUGUGGAUUUUGUGAAAUGGAAAGAUUUUCUACCCCUCGUGGUAGCGUAUUUUAAAAGAAAAGAAUUUUCUUAUGAAAAACGGAUUUCAAACAGCUUUCUUGUGGUUUUUGUAACUUAGUAUUUCAAAGCCCGUCUCUGAGUUGGAAACAUUUUAACUAAUAGUUGCGAUUUUAUGUUCAAAUCAUGAAUGUGAACCUGUGCUGAAUAGUGUAUGGAUAUAUAUAGAUGUUGGAUGUCUGUAUGUUCAGUGUAGCGGUUGUAUCCUGGUUAUACUCUUGUACUUGUGCGACGCCGUGCAAAUACAGGGGAGACUCUGUCCGUGUGAACAGUGGAUUCCCUAUAUUUGUGGCGGAUCUGGCAUACCCUGAGGUCAGGUUUUCAAAAUAUAUAAAAAAAAAAAAAAAUUUCGCUGUAUUUUAACCAAAAAGGGACCCCGGGGCGUGACAUAAGGUAUAAUAAAAAAAUCUAUUAAUAUGGGUAUUAUAGUAAACUUAUUGCUUUGCCUUACUAAUUCUCCUUUUCGACCGAGUACAAAUAAUUGUAUAAUCCCUAGUAUUUUAAUGUGCGAACCAAAUAAAAAUACUCCUACAACAUUGAAAUCUAAUUCUAGGAUAAUAAAUUUUGAAAAUUUAAUUCUUUGCAAAAAUUUUAAAUAUUAUGAACCAAACAGUCCCUAAAAUGUUUACUUGUAAAAGUAUUGUGCAAAAGUUGCUAUGAAAUUAAAUGAUUUGUAUAGAAUUUUUAAAGAAGAUAUUUAGGAGGUUUAGUUAUUAUUUAUCUUUUUGGAAAACAAGGACAAAUUCUUAGUUGCAAUAGAGUUAAGAUAAAUUAUUCCAACCCUAGUUAUCUUACAAAUGGCUUUAGUGGGGAAUUCCUCUGUUGUCUUACUUUGGUCUUCUGUUUAUCAUCAAGCACCAAUUUUCUAACUAAUAUGUAUCAUCAACCACCAAUUUCUUUCAAAACCCUUUUAUUAAUUUUUGAGUCAUCAACCACCAAUUUCUUUCAAAACCCUUUUAUUAAUUUAACUAAUAUGUAUCAUCAACCACCAAUUUCUUUCAAAAUCCUUUUAUUAAUUUUUUUUUGCCUACUCCUACAUUUUCUUUCUCCUCUGAUUGUGUACUUUGCUUCAGCUUUGCUUAUUGUCGGCUGCCAUUUUGUUACUCCUCUUCUAUGUUUUCGAUAUAUAUAAUCUGCCAUUUUAAAUAGGGUAUACCCAUGUUUAAUCAAAAUUUUUUUUUUGAGUCAUGCUCUAACUAAUAUGAUAAUUUAUAACUAGAAUACUUUCUCAAGUAAACGAGACUACUUUCAGCUACAUUAUUUCAACGGUAAAUAUCUAAAUUGGUGAUUGACACAAUUAAACAAAAUCUAAACCAUUCAAACUUUCUAAAAUCAAUUUUGGUGACUUCAUGAUAAGUGGUUUUAAAUUCACUUUAAACAUAAUAAUCCAACCCAAAAACUGAGAUUAACUUGGACAGUAAAAAUCUUGUAAUGAACCCAAUGAAAUCACACGAUCUACCACAGAUUAAACUACUAGUAAUAAUGUUAUAGAAAUCCAAUCCACAAAUUCGGCAAAAUUAGUAUGUGGCACAAACAACUUAAUGUGUUAGUUGUAACUAUUAUACUGCCACUUAAUCGAUCAGAAAAUAAGGAGUAUAUAUGAACCUAGCUCUAAAAAUAAAAAUAUCCUCCACAUCAAAAAUUCUAUUUUAUUCUGAACAAAACCAAACAACAUUUAUCUUGUUGGUUUUUACUUUUAUAAGGCCCCAAACUUAGUGCAGCAAAAAAUACAAAUAAAAUACAACAGCAGAUUCCACUACUGAGGCAGAAUACAUUACAGCAUCUAAGGCAUCAAAGGAGGCAGUUUGGCUUCGAAAGUUUGUCACGGAACUAGGAGUGGUGCCUUCUAUUGAGGAGCCAAUGCCACUUUACUGUUACACUAAUGAAGGUAUAGCACAAGGUAAAGAAUCGAGAUCUCAUCAGAAGUUCAGACAUAUAGAUCGACGCGACCACAUCAUCCGAUAAUUUGUUGGUGAACGUCAGACUGUUGUGCAGAAUGUAGCAUCCGUGGACAAUAUUGCGGAUCCCCUUACUAAGCCGCUCACACUUCAAAAGCUGGAUGUGCAUUUAGAAAGAAUGGGUAUGAGAUACAUGAGCGAUUGAUAUUAGUGUUAGUGGGAGAUUAUUAGUGGUAUACUCUAAAGCCAAUCGAUGACAUAGGCUUAUGGACAUAUUUUGUAGUUUUCUGUAUUUUAGAAAGGGCAAGUUUUAUUCAUGUUUAUUGUUAACAGUGCAAUAUAUUUACAUAAAUCGUCUGUUAAAUCUUUAUUAAGAAAAUAUAUUUCUAAGAGUUAAAAAUUUGAAGUAUAUAUUUUUUUAUACAAGAUUCUUAAACGCUAGCUUCUAGCCAUAGGAAUAUCAUAAGGGCGAUGGUAUUUUCGGAUAGGCCGCUGUAUACUAUACUUUUAAGUUGAGGUGACGGAUCUCAAGUCAUUAGUGUAGGGACACUAAAGUAAGUAUGCAAGUCCUUGCUAGUGAACAAGUACACUGAGUGUGACCAUUUAGUUAAAUAGUCACAUGAUUGCAUAUUCGCAAGUGACUAGUUCUUUGCUACAGUGGUGUGACGUACUCCUCGAACCUGAGGCAUCAUGGUUGCUUCACAUAUAGAUUGCUACCGUUUGACUGUACUAAUACUUAGACUCUAAUCAUUGAUCUACAUCUGGUACUGAUUGGUUGUACUUAGGGGUGGAAACGAGCCGAGCUCGAGCGAGCUUAUGUCAGCUCAAAUUCGGCUUGAAAUUAAUUUCGAGCCUAAAUCUAGGCUCAAGCUCUGCUUGAAAUUAAUUCGAGCCGAGCUCAAGCGAGCCUAAUUUCGAGUCGAGCCGAGCUCGAGCUCUAAACGAGCCGAUUGAAAUUGUCAACAUUAUAUAAUCAAUAGUUUAAUUUUUAUAAAACAUUACCUAUAAUUUGAUGCAACAUGUUCAAUAGUUCAAAAUACAAAAUAAUUGUAAGAAAUGUGAGCUAGGGUGACUGCCUGACUAGGUGAGGGUCAGAGAGAGAGAGAGAGAGAGGGAAAAAAAUUGGGGAUUUGGGAAUUUGAAUGUUAUCAUAUUUUAGGGUUAUGUACAAUAGUAAAAGUCUGAAAGAGAGAGUGUGUUAUGUAAAUUUAGAGUUGGGCUCAAUUGCACGGUUGUACUUGUUGGGUUUAUUUUAUGGGCCAACAAUAAUGGCCCAAAUUAAAUUAAAGCCUAUAUAUAAUUAAAAUACAUAUUAUAUAUAUAUAUAUAUAGAGUCCGGCUACUAUACUUUUAUGAGUAUUGGCUCCUUUAUACUCAUAAGUUUUCGACCCUUAGAUUUAUUCCAUUAAUCAUUUUCAUCCGUUAGAUCAUACUAUUUAACCAACUACCCACUCAACCCUAGGGGACCACUAUCAUUCUAAGUGGGGACCACCAUCAUCCUAACCACACAUCCCAUCAAUCAACGGUUAAAAAUUUAUGAGUACAAGGGGGUCUAUACUCAUAAGAGUAUAGUAACCCCAGCAUAUAUAUAUAUAUAUAUAUAUAUUUUCGAGCUUUCGAGCUUUUCAAGCCUAAUUCGAACGAGCCGAGUAAUACUCAAGCUCGGCUUGAAAUGAAUUUCGAGCCUUUUAUUUUGUUCAAGCUCGGCUCAUUUAAUUUCGAGUCGAGCUCGAGCGAGCCGAAUAUCGAGCCGAACAUGAGUCGAACGCGAGCCGGCUCGCUCGUUUGCCAGCCCUAGUUGUACUACUUUAUAUGGGAAAGCAUGUGAGUGCGCAAUAAAAUAUUAAACACUCUCAAUAUUGAGAGAUAACGUCCUAUAUAAACUAUCAGACUCGACUCGAAAAAUCCUUAGCCAGGGUACGUAAUGUGUGGAAGAGUUUCCAGCUAUGUUACCAUAUUGAGUCAAUUUUAGAUAUUCUAGUCAUAUGAUUGAAUAAUAAGAUUUGACGAGUAAUCAUAACUCUGGUUCGAUCGGGGCGUUGUGUAUUGGAAGGAAUUAAUCACACGGUAAUUGUUAGCAGAAAUGUUCAUUAUUAAUCAUCAUUCUGGAUUGCCGUAAUAUACUGUUAGGUAUCACUCACGGACAGUAAGAGAAGUAAAAAUAAUUUAAAAUAAAAUAUUUCAUAAAUUAAAAAAGUUUUAAUUCAAUAUUGAAAAGUUUGAUAUUGAACUACAGAUGAGUCUAAUACACUAAACAGUUUAGUAAAAAUAAUAAAAAAUUAUAUUUUGAAUUUAAAUAUUACGAAAGAUUUAAUCUCUAAUUAUAUUAAAGAAUAAUUAAAUAUUCAUAGAUUAUUAUGAGAUAAUAUUCUAAUUAGAUUAGAUUUAAAUAUGAAUAUUUAAUUAUAAUUUAAUAGAUAAGAUCUGAUUAUAUUGAAUUUAUCAAAUAGAGAGAUAUGGAUAAAAUACCCAAAAGGAUAAAUGUAAAUUUACUUUUCUUAUCCUAUAUGUAGAGGUGUAAAACGGGCCGGGCGGCACGUGGGCCGCCCGGCCCGGCACGGCUACGGGCCGGGCCGUGGCCCGGCACGGCCACUGUAGCACCCGGGCCGGGCCGGGCCCGGCAGGCACUUCGGGCCGUGCUGGGCCUCACAUUUGGAGCCCAACGGCCCGGCACGGCACGGCCCGAAACGGGCCUGGGCCGUGCCGGGCCGAGGAGAGGCCCGUGGCCCGGCACGGCACGGCCCGCUUGGGCCGUGCCAGCCGGGCCAGCACGGCCCGGAACCCAGGCCCAAGGCAAAGUUGCCUUGGGCCUGGGGUUUGCUCUCCUCGGGUGGAGGGCUUGGCCCUCCUCCCAAGGAGAGCUCCUCCCAAGGUCUGCCUGCAGACCUUGGGAGGAGUGAUUUUGGUCCAAUGGACCAAAGCAAUUUUGGUCCAUUGGACCAAAAACCCUUCUCAACUUUUUUUUUUUUCAAAAAAAAGAAUACAAAAAUAUAUUAAAUAAAUUUAAAUAUUUAUUUUUUUGUUAAUUUAUUUAUAAAUUUUAAAUUUUUUUAAUCAAAAUAUCAGUUUAUUAAAUAAUUUAUUGUUAUAUUUUUUUAAAUUAUAUGUACUUUUUUAAAAAUAAAAAAAAGACCGGCCCGGAGCCGGCACCGGCCGGCGCACGGCCCGUGACUUCCGGGUAGGCGGCCUGCUGGCGCAAUGGAGUGGAGUUCGGGCCGGCACGGCCGGCCGAUUUAGCACGGGCGGGCCGAGGCACUGUUCCCAGCCGGUUAUCGCCGGAAAUAUGGGCCGUGCCAGCCGGCCGGCCCACAUUACACCCCUACCUAUUAUGGCAUACUCAUCUUAUGAUAUAUUAUGAAUGAAAUCCUCAGUUUUUGAACAGGUGGCUGAGCGCGGAGGCGCGGCAGGGGCAGAGCGCGGGCGCGGGCAAGCGGCGCGGCCUGACGGGGCGCGUAGUGGCGCCACGGAGCGCGCCGUGGCGCGGGCAGGCGGGCACGCGGGGCGGGCGCCGCGUGCGCGGGCGGUCCGGGCGUGGCAGCGCUCAGAUUUCUCGCGUGAGCGCGUGGCGGAAGGGCGCCGCGUGGGCGGAAGCUCGAGGGGGCAGGCAGGCGGUAUAGCGCGAGGGGGCGGGGCGCGCGUGGCGGCGGGCGAGCCCGGCGGGCGGUGAACGAAUCAAUUGGCGAGCGGUGCGCGGGGAGAGGAGAUGGAAGGCGGGCGAGCGUUGGGGAGCGGGCUGCCGCGCGUGGCCGCGGCCUCUUGCGCGCGGGCGCUUGCAGGGCAAGGCGGACGUAUCUUCUUCUCUCUUGCAGAGCGCCGCGGGGCGGGUCUGACCGCGUGGCGCGGGGAAAAGAGAGGAGCGGGAGCAGGAGAGCGAUGGGAGAGGGAGAGGACGGAAGAGGGCUGGCCCGCCCGUGCGCAGGCGGCACCAGCAGGGAGAGCGAGAGGAGCCCGCAGAGGAGAGCAGCAUUUAUUUUUUUGGCUCUUUUGUCUCAGCGCGNNNNNNNNNNNNNNNNNNNNNNNNNACCUGAGGCCAUCAUUGGUUGUUCACUAUUAGAUACUACCGUUUGAUGUAAUCAAUACUUAGAUCUUAAUCAUUGAUCUUACAUCUGGUACUGAUUGGUUGUACUUAGGGGUGAACGAGCGAGCUCGAGCGAGCUUAUGUCAGCUCAAAUUCGGCUUGAAAUUAAUUUCGAGCCUAAAUCUUAGGCUCAAGCUCUGCUUGAAAUUAAUUCGAGCGAGUCAAGCGACCUAAUUUCGAGUCGAGCCGAGCUCGAGCUCUAACGAGCGAUUGAAUUGUAACAUAUAUAAUUCAAUAGUUUAAUUUUUAUAAAACAUUACUAUAAUUUGAUGCAACAUGUUCAAUAGUUCAAAAAUACAAAAAUUUAAUUGUAAGAAAAUGUGAGCUAGGGUGACUGCCUGACUAGGUGAGGGUCAAGAGAGAGAGAGAGAGAGGGAAAAAAAAAUUGGGGAUUUGGGAAUUGAAUGUUAUCAUAUUUUAGGGUUAUGUACAAUAGUAAAUCUGAAAGAGAGAGUGUGUUAUGUAAUUAGAGUUGCUGCUCAAUUGCAACGAUUGUACUUGUUGGGUUUAUUUAAUGGGCCCAACAAUAAUGCCCAAAUUAAAUUAAAGCUAUAUAUAAUUAAAUAUUUAUUAUAUAUAAUAUAUAGUAUAUAUAUAUAUUAUAUAUAUAUAUAUAUAUUAUAUAUAUAUAUAUAUAUAUAUAUAUAUAUAGUUGAGCUGGAAUACUAUGGUAGCAAACGGGCUCCGUUGCACCUACACCUGUUUUCGGAUGAUGGAGCCUCCAAAUCGACGAUCGGUACCGUUGAAAUGAUCUAUACACAUUAAAGUAUCUAGAAAUCAAUUUCAUGUUUUUUCGAUAUUUUUAUUCUCUCGUUCAUCAAGUGGGCGUAAAAUGACGGCUGAAAAUGAAUAUUCCUCUAAAAGAUGAUGAUAGGAAUUUUGUAAUCAAGAUCGAGAGUGUAGAUCUUGUUCUAAAUGUUUUAAGAAUUUUCUAACCAAAAUUCAAUGAUUUGAUAGUUUACACGUUAAACGAGAAAACACCUCAAUCGACCAUUAAAAUUAAAAUUUUGAAACCCUUUGAAUUAUUAGGUCAAUGAUAUCGAAAAUAUUUGAAAUUUAAUUCUAGAUUUUAAGUGAUAUAUGAUCAUGUUCAACGCGUCGCCGAUCGUCGAUUUGAGGUCCAUCAUCGAAAAUAAAUAGGUGCAACGAGCCCGUUGUACUGAUAGCAUUUCAGCUCAGUAUAUAUAUAUAAUAUAUAUAUAAUAUAUUAUAUAUAUAUAUAUAUAUAUAUAUAUAUAUAUAUAUAUAUAUAUAUAUAUAUAUUAUUUUUCGAGCUUUCGAGCUUUCAAGCCUAAUUCGAACGAGCCGAGUAAUACUCAAGUCGGCUGAAAUGAAUUUCGAGCUUUAUUUUUGUUUCAAGCUCGGCUCAUUUAAUUUCGAGUCGAGCUCGAGCGAGCCGAAUAUCGAGCCGAACACAUGAGUCGAACGCGGAGCCGGCUCGCUCGUUUUGCCAGCCCUAGUUGUUACUAUUUAUAUGGGAAAGCAUGUGAGUGCGCAAUAAAAUAUUAAACACUCUCAAUAUUGAGAGAUAACGUCCCUAUAUAAACUAUCAGACUUCGACUCGAAAAAUCCUUAGCAGAGGUAGUAAUGUGUGUGGAAGAGUUUCAGCUAUGUUACCAUAAUUGAGUCAAUUUUAGAUAUUCUAGUCAGUAUGAUUGAUAUAUAAGAUUUGACGAGUAAUCAUAACUCUGGUUCGAUCGGGGCGUUGUAUUGGAAGGAAUUAAUCACACGGUAAUGUUAGCAGAAAUGUUCAUUAUUAAUCAUCAUUCUGGAUUGCCGUAAUUACUGCUUAGGUAUCACUCACGGACAGUAAGAGAAAUAAAAAUAAUUUAAAAUAAAAUAUUCAUAAAUUAAAAAAGUUUUAAUUCAAUAUGAAAAGUUUGAUAUUGAACUACAGAUGAGUCUAAUACACUAAACAGUUAGUUAAAAAUAAUAAAUUAUAUUUGAAAUUUAAAUAUUACGAAAGAUUUAAUCUUAAUUAUAUUAAAGAAUAAUUAAAUAUUCAUAGAUUAUUAUUCGAUAAUAUUCUAAUUAGAUUUAGAUUUAAAUAUGAAUAUUUAAUUAUAAUUUAAUAGAUAAGAUCUGAUUAUAUUGAAUUUAUCAAAUAGAGAGAUAUGGAUAAAAUACCCAAAAGGAUAAAUGUAAAUUUACUUUUCUUAUCCUAUAUGUAGAGUGUAAAACGGGGCGGCACGUGGGCGCCGGCCGGCACGGCUACGCGGCCGGGCCGUGCCCGGCACGGCCACUGGUAGCACGGGCCGGGCCGGGCCCGGCAGGCACUUCGGGCCUGCUGCGGCCUCACAUUUGGAGCCCAACGGCCCGGCACGGCACGGCCCGAAACGGCCUGGGCGUGCCGGCGAGGAAGAGGCCGUGGCCGACGGCACGCGGCCCGCUUGGGCCGUUCAGCCGGCCAGCACGGCCCCGGAACCAGGCCCAGGCAAAGUUGCCUUGGCCUGGGGUUUGCUCUCCUCGGGUGGAGGGCUUGGCGCUCCUCGCAAGGAGAGUCCUCAAGGUCUGCCUGCAGACCUUGGGAGGAGUGAUUUUGGUCCAAUGGACCAAAGCAAUUUUGGUCCAUUGCGACAAAAACCCUUCUCACUUUUUUUUUUUCAAAAAAAAGAAUACAAAAUAUAUAUUAAAUAAAUUUAAAUAUUUAUUUUUUUGUAAUUAUUUUUUAAAUUUUAAAUUUUUUAAUCCAAAUAUCAGUUUAUAUAAAUAUAAUUAUUGUUUAUAUUUUUUUAAAUAUAUGUACAUUUUUUAAAAAAUAAAAAAAAGGGCGGCCGGAGCGACGGCCCGGCCCGGCGACGGCCGUGCCUUCCGGGCCUAGGGGCCAGUGCGAGGGGCGUGUGGUAGGCGAGUUCGGGCCGGACGGCGGGCGGAUUUAGCCCAGCGGGCGGCCGUGGCACUGUCCAGCCGCGGUUUCGGCCGGGAAAUAUGGCCGUGGCAGCCCGCCGGCCACUUACACCCCUACUAUAUGGACACUCAUUCUAUCUAGUAUAUAUGAAUCCUAGUUUGAAACCGUGCGAGCGACGGGCGCGGGCGCGGCGGCUCGAUCGCGGACGCGGGCAAGGCGGCGCCCUGAACCGGGCGCCGUGUGGCGCUGGCUGCGCGCGGGCGGCGGGCAGGCGGCACAGCGGGGAGUGGGCGCGCGUGGAGCGGCGCCGGGUGGGCCGUGGCGGCAGGGCGCGCGUGUGCGGUGUGCGCCGCGUGGGCGGGCUUCAAGGAGGGGGCAGGCAGUGCUGGCGCGGGGGGCGGGGCGCCGCGUGUGCGCGGGCGAGCGGCGGCGCGGGCGAGCUGGCGCGGGGAGAGGAGAGGGAGAGGCGGCGAGCGUGGAGGGGGCCGCGUGGCGGCAUAUCGGCGCGCGGGGCUUGGGCAAGGCCGGACACAGCGGCGGCGGGGGGGUGCGCGUGGCGGGGAGAGGAGCGGGAGAGGAGAGGCGGAGGGAGAGGAGAGGAGCGGAGAAGGUGGGGCCAGGCGCCCAGCCGAGGGAGAGGAGAGGAGAGAGGGAGGGAUUUUUAUUUUUUUUUGGCUUUUUUCUUCUCUUUAAUUUUUUCCCUUUAAUUUUUUUUAUAUAUUUAUUCUCUUAAUAUAUAAUUAAAAAUUUAUAAUUUUUGUAAUUCAAUCUAAAUUUUAUUUAUUUUUAUAAAAUUUAAAAUAUAUAAAUAUUUUUUAAAUAAGUUAAAUUAUUUGUAUU
rnacentral:lncRNA from 1 species